UUUCGUUGGAUUUGGACAAACGAGUAAAAAGUUAUGGCUAUUUGAAAAAUCAGGGCCAUGCUAUUUUACGGAAGAAAAAAAUAGCUACGGGCUAGGGUCUAAUGUAUAAAUACGUAGACUAAUUGAUAAUCUAAUUAUUUUAUCAUAUUAGUCUAAAAAUAAUAAACUACGGAGGUAUAAGAAGAGAAAAACAAAGAAAGAUACCUUUAUAAGGCAGAGAAAAGACAACUUUGAAGAAAGGAGACAAUUUCCAAAAGUCGCACCGGAGAGGAGAAAUAUAUUUUUCUUAAAUGAAUCUAGUCAAACCAAAAUAUUGAUUUAACCCGAAUCGGAUGAUUUUUGGAGGCUCUAUGGGUCUAUAUUUAUUGGUGGAAAAGAGGCUUAGGGGUCAAAGGCUAGGCAAUGUGGGACUAAACGUAGACGAAAAUAUACGAAACAGAGAAGAAAAGAGGCGGGUGGGCCUAAAGGCCUUCGGCCGGCCGCGCGCACGCUGCGGUGCAGUCUUUUUUUUUACGAAAUUCGGCCUAAGAGAAAAAAAAGGCUGGCUGGGCCUGGCCUAUUUAAGAGAAAAAUAAUGGGGUGCCAGAAGCUACUAUACUGUGCAUGUAGGCGAUAAAUAAAUAUGGACCGCACAUACAGUCUUUUUUUAAAAUAGAAACAGAAGGAAAACCGAAUAACAAAAUAAAAUAAUAAUUUUAUAUAGGCAUAUUAUAUAUCAAAAUUUUCAGAAAAAGAUUUUCUACGACAUGAAAAUUUUUCUGGCAUUAAAUAAAAUACACACAAAUUCUAAUAAUUCUAACAGUGCUCCUGCUCUAAUAAGAUCCAACAAAAAUCAUUUUAAAAAUACCAAAAUGAAAUCAAAUUGAUUUCUCUCCAAUUUUCUGUUGUAGGGAAUCAUGUUACCCUAUUUUCCAUGUAUUUUAUUUUUGAAGAAAAAUGAUUUGAAUAAAAUCCAAAUAACUCCAAAUUGAAAAAUAUUUCCAAAAGAACUUUGAAUUUGAUCCUUUGAAACUCCCAACUCAUAUUUCAUAUAAUUUUAAGAAGUCAUUUUAUCUCCUCUCGUGAAAAUCAUUGAGUUGCAUAAAGUUUCAGAAUUGGAAAUAUUCUCAAAUGAAAUUCAAAUAGUUUCAACACCGCUUGUCAUUUAAAUAUAUGGAAGAAGUCAUGUCAUCUUCUCUCCAGGGUUUUGUGAUGAAAAGAAUUUGAAUUCAUGGGGAUCAAAAAGAAAAAGGUGAAAGUUUGGGAAAGUCCUUUUAUUCUCUCUCAUUUAACUUUCAAAAAGUUUUGAAUUUCACUCAAUCAAUCACACAACAAUCAAACAAUAAAUCAAUCAAUCUAUUUAUUUUAACAUUCCAAAAAUUAGAAUUUUGGGAUGUUACAAACCUACCACCCUUAAAAUGAAUCUCGUCCUCGAGAUUCAGAGAGGCUAGAAAGAAAUAGGUUGGGUUUGGGGUCUUCUCAAAAUCUCAUCAAUCGUCUCUAGGGUCUGGGGUGCUACCACCCUUAAAAUCAUUGUUACGGUUCCGUCAAAACUCAUAUACUCCAUCCUUAUUCUAGACAGUGUCGGUCUUCUCAGAUCGUAAUGAUAAUUCCUUCUCUGGGCUCUUCCGGUAGUGGCAUAACUUUUUUCCUCAAUUCUUUUGUAUCCUUUCUUCCGGGUAAGGUUAUUCCGAGACUGGGUCUUCUUAGCUGACGAGUCUGGCGCCAAAACUAAAUAACUAUCGAUAUCUCAUGGUGGUCAACAAUUUAUGGUUUCUCCUGCAGGAAAUGGGUCUGGGUUGAACCUCACCGUAUAACCUACGGUUGGCAACAACUGCCGUGUAGAAGGGAAAAAUUAUUAUACCAUUCUAAGGUUUGAACAGGAUUUUGAUCGCCGUCUCUCUACUAUAGGUAAGUCACUCAGAUUUACCAUCCCAUAUAGCAAGGCGAAUUAACUAUCAUGGUGGUUUUUGAACAUUGAGAAUGGUUGACAGCAUUCUCAAUCCCAAUUAAGUAACAUCAUUAAAACCCAACCAAUUAUUUAAGUAACGUGAUGAGAUCAACAUGAUAAUCCAAGAACUAGAUACUCAAGACGUCCAUAACCGGGGACACGGCUAAUCAUGAUUAGUUUAUACACUCUGCAGAGGUUGCGCACUUUUACCACAAGACUCGAUCGCCUCCGUUGUAUUUCUCACACUACAUGGUGUUUGAGAAACGGAUGACCGAGAUAUAGUCUUUCAGAAGCGCUAGCACCUUACGAUGGAUAGACUGUUACACCUACUUUCCCUUACAUCUACUAGUCUACCCUGUAAGAGUUCGCAUGACUUAAUCAACUAUGCUAGAGCCCAUAAUAACUUGUGGCUUCACACGGAAGUUUCUAGUAUGAAAAAUCUCAUGAUCCCUUUGACCCUGGGUGGCGGUCCAUUAAAAAAAUAGGCAAUCCUGGUCUACCCAGGUGCCUAGACAGGCAAUACUAGAAUAACCAGGUACCUCAAUCCACCCAGAUGUGUGUUUAAGUUGCCACCUUAGAUAAACCAUUAAUUAACAAACUCACUUCUUUCAUGGAUAUCACUCACCCAAUCCACGUCUACUAGCAUAGCAUGGCAUAAUAGGAAAACGUGAAAGUAACUCCCAAAGGUUUGAUACUACAACAGGUAAUAGGUACUACCUCAACUACUUCCCAAUCCCACAAUUUAACUAGAUCCUAAUCAUGCAAUGUUUCAGGAUUGAUCUAAUGCAAUAAAACUGGGUAUGAAAGAGGAUAUGAUCAAAGUCUGAACUUGCCUGCAAUGUUGAUGAAGAUGAUUCGCACUCAAAACUCUUGAUAGUUCUACUCGUCACACUCCGGUCAAUCGAUCGUAAGCAAGCAAUAGUAAUCACACAUAAGCAAUCACUCAAAGUAUCAGAAAGAACGAAGAAGACAAUUCGGAAAACAUCAAAACCAAUAAAAUAACUCUUGCAACAUAAAACAAUUUCUAACAGUACCAAAAUUAUAUGAAUUUGGCCUUAUCAAAAAGUUUAGGUCAAGAGUUUCGAUUUGCAAAAAGAAUCAACUCAAACGGAGCUACGAAACUCAAGUUAUGAUCAAACAAAGUUUGAAUUCAAAUCUGAUCUAAUUUAAAUUUUAAACUUUUCAAAAACAUGUUUGAGUUGGAUUACUGGAUAGAGGAGAUCAUAACGAAGAAGUGGGCGUUGGUUUCGUUGGAUUUGGACAAACAAGUAAAAAGUUAUGGCUAUUUGAAAAAUCAGGGCCAAGCUGUUUUACGGAAGAAAAAAAUAGCUACGGGCUAGGGUCUAAUGUAUAAAUACGUAGACUAAUUGAUAAUCUAAUUAUUUUAUCAUAUUAGUCUAAAAGUAAUAAACUACGGAGGUAUAAGAAAAAAAACAAAGAAAGAUACCUUUAUAAGGGAGAGAAAAGACACCUUUGGAGAAAGGAGACAAUUUCCAAAAGUCGCAUCGGAGAGGAGAAAUAUAUUUUUCUUAAAUGAAUCUAGUCAAACCAAAAUAUUGAUUUAACCCGAAUCGGAUGAUUUUUGGAGGCUCUAUGAGUCUAUAUUUAUUGGUGGAAAAGAGGCUUAGGGAUCAAAGGCUAGGCAAUGUGGGACUAAACGUAGACGAAAAUAUACGAAACAGAGAAGAAAAGAGGCGGAUGGGCCUAAAGGCCUUCGGCCGGCCGCGUGCACGCUGCGGUGCAGUCUUUUUUUUUUUUACAAAAUUCGGCCUAAGAGAAAAAAAAGAAAAGGCUGGCUGGGCCUGGCCUAUUUAAGAGAAAAACAAUGGGGCGCCAGAAGCUACUAUACUGCGCAUGUAGGCGAUAAAUAAAUAUGGGCCGCACAUACAGUUUUUUUUAAAAUAGAAACAGAAGGAAAACCGAAUAACAAAACAAAAUAAAAUUUUUAUAUAGGCAUAUUAUAUAUCAAAAUUUUCAGAAAAAGAUUUUCUACGACAUGAACAUUUUUCUGGCAUUAAAUAAAAUACAUGCAAAUUCUAAUAAUUCUAAUAGUGCUCCUGCUCUAAUAAGAUCCAACAAAAAUCAUUUUAAAAAUACCAAAAUGAAAUCAAAUUUAUUUCUCUCCAAUUUUCUGUUGUAGGGAAUCAAGUUACCCUAUUUUCCAUGUAUUUUAUUUUUGGAGAAAAAUGAUUUGAAUAAAUAACUCCAAAUUAAAAAAUAAUUCCAAAAGAAUUUUGAAUUUGAUCCUUUGAAACUCCCAACUCAUAUUUCAUAUAAUUUGAAGAAGUCAUUUUAUGUCCUCUCGUGAAAAUCAUUGAGUUUUAUAAAGUUUCAGAAUUGGAAAUAUUCUCAAAUGAAAUUCAAAUAUUUUCAACACCCCUUGUCACUUAAAUAAAUGGAAGAAGUCAUGUCAUCUUCUCUCCAGGGUUUUGUGAUGAAAAGAAUUUGAAUUCAUUGGGAUCAAAAAGAAAAAGGUGAAAGUUUGGGAAAGUCCUUUUAUUCCCUCUCAUUUAACUUUCAAAAAGUUUCAAAUUUCACUCAAUCAAUCACACAACAAUCAAACAAUAAAUCAAUCAAUCUAUUUAUUUUAACAUUCCAAAAUUUAGAAUUUUGGGAUGUUACAGUACUUUCAUGAGACUAAUGAACGAAGUUUUACGUGCUUUCAUUGGAUGAUUUCUGGUAGUCUAUUUUGAUGAUAUACAGAUUUAUAGCAGAUCUUUGGAGGAACAUUUGGAACAUUUACGUGCUGGUUUUAUUGCUCUAUAUGAUGCACGUUUGUUUGGUAACCUUGGGAAGUGCACCUUCUGCACCGACCGAGUAUCUUUUCAUGGCUAUGUUGUUACUCCACAGGGAAUUGAAGUUGAUAAAGCCAGGAUUGAAGCUAUUGAGAGUUGGCCGCAGGCCAAAACGGUCACACAAGUGAGGAGUUUUCUUGGCCUCACUAGAUUCUAUAGGCGUUUUGUGAGAGAUUUCAGCACCACCGUUGCACCUCUCAAUGAGCUUACAAAGAAGGAUGUGCCUUUUGUUUGGGGUACCGCACAGGAAGAAGCCUUCACGGUAUUGAAAGAUAAGUUGACACAUGCAACUUUACUCCAACUUCCUGAUUUUAAUAAGACUUUUGAGCUUGAAUGUGAUGCUAGUGGAAUUGGAUUAGGAGGUGUGUUAUUACAAGAUGGCAAACCUGUUGCAUACUUUUAUGAAAAGUUGAGUGGGCCUAGUCUGAAUUAUUCUACUUAUGAUAAAGAAUUAUAUGCUCUUGUUCAGACUUUAGAGACAUGUCAACAUUAUUUAUGGCCCAAAGAAUUUGUUAUAGAUUCUGAUCAUGAAUCUUUGAAACAUAUUAACAGUCAAGCUAAAUUGAAUCGUAGACAUGCUAAAUGGGUUGAAUUCAUUAAGACUUUCCUUUAUGUUAUUAAGCACAAGAAGGGUAAAGAAAAUUUUAUUGCUGAUGCAUUGUCUCAUUGCUAUACUAUACUUUCAUAACUUGACUUAAAAAUAUUUGGUUUGGAGACCACCAGAGAUCAAUAUGUGCAUGCUGCUGAUUUUAAAGAUGUAAUGCAGAAUUGUAAAGAAGCUCGCCGUUAAUGAUGGAUUUGUGUUCCGUGCUAACAAGCUAUGCAUUCCAGCUAGCUCCAUUCGUCUUUUGUUGUUGCAGGAGGCGCAUGGAGGAGGACUAAUGGGACACUUUGGCGUGAAGAAGACGGAGGACGUACUUGCUACACAUUUCUUUUGGCCAAAGAUGAGACGGGAUGUUGAGCGUUUUGUUGCUCGCUGCACUACAUGUCAAAAAGCUAAGUCAUGACUCAAUCCUCAUGGUUUAUAUAUGCCUUUUCCUGUACCUAGUAUUCCUUGAGAGGAUAUAUCUAUGGACUUUGUUUUAGGUAUACCUCGAACAAAGAAGGGGAGGGAUAGCAUAUUUGUUGUCGUGGAUAGGUUCUCGAAAAUGGCACACUUUAUACCAUGUCAUAAAACCGAUGAUGUUGUUAAUGUUGCUGAUUUGUUCUUUCAUGAAAUUAUUCGCUUGCAUGGUGUGCCAAAUACUAUUGUUUCAGAUCGUGACACUAAAUUUCUUAGCCACUUUUGGUGAUGUUUAUGUGCUAAGUUGUGGACUAAACUACUUUUUAGUACUACUUGCCACCCCGAAACUGAUGGACAAACUGAAGUAGUCAAUAGAACAUUGUCUACUAUGCUUAGGGCUGUUUUCAAGAAUAAUAAGAAAAUGUGGGAAGAAUGCUUGCCUCAUAUUGAAUUUGCUUAUAAUCGUUCAUUGCAUUCUACUACUAAGAUGUGCCCUUUUGAAAUUGUGUAUGGUUUCCUACCUCGUGCACCUAUUGAUUUGUUGCCUCUUCCAUCUUCGGAGAAGGUUAAUUUUGAUGCUAAGGAACAUGCUGAAUUGAUUUUAAAAAUGCAUGAUUUAACUAAGGAAAACAUUGAGUGUAUGAAUGCUAAAUAUAAACUAGAUGGAGAUAAGGGUAGAAAACAUGUUGUGUUUGCACCUGGAGAUCUUAUUUGGUUACAUUUGCGUAAGGAUAGAUUUCCUAAUUUGCGCAAAUCAAAGCUAAUACCACGUGCUGAUGGUCCUUUUAAGGUGUUAGAGAAAAUAAAUGAUAAUGAAUAUAAACUUGAGCUGCCUGCAGAUUUUGGGGUUAGUCCCACUUUUAACAUUACAGAUUUGAAGCCUUAUAUGGGUGAAAAAGAUGAGCUUUCGUCGAGGACAACUUCAUUUCAAGAAGGGAGGAUGAUGAGGACAUCAAUACCAUUGUUACACUCACAGCCCUGCUGCUAUACAUACUGGACCAAUUACUAGAGCUCGUGCACGCCAAUUGAAUUGUCAGGUACUUUCGUUUCUUGGUAACGAUUCUAAUGUUCAUGAGAAUAUGAUGCUGCCUGAAUUGGAUACAUUUGUUUUGCUUACAAAUGAAGGGCCUAGCUUGGACAAGAAAGAUGAACCUUGGAGAAAUGUUCAAGCAUGGAGAUGAUGGCAUGCACAAGGGGAACAAGAAUUGAGUUACGAGUGAUGAUUCCAGGACUUUGAAGCCACCAUAAUGUGUGCAUGAAGCCUUGGACGAAAUAUACAAGAUGCCACUUCAUAAAUUUCGUCCAGAGGCUAUUCUAGGUGUUGCGUCACCUUAUUUGUGGGCCAGGCCCAUGUAAUUUCGAAAUACUUGAUUAUAGGCAGUUUUUAUAGUCCGUAUGUCUGGGGAAACAAUAGUUAGGGUUGGUUUCGGACACCUCCUCCAAGGGCCACGAAAUUACCCCCCCUCUCUUCUCCAUAUAUACAUCCCUUAGGGCAUCAUUUAGACUUUGGGUUUUGUUUAGAUUAAAAGUUCGCCAUAGCUGCAACUUCGUGUACUUCGUUUGUGUCCAAUGACCAGACCAAGACGUUACAAAACCCCACCUUCAUUAAUAAAGCUUUCCUCUUUUAUUCACAAUAUCCAGAUUGCAAUCUCAGUUUUUGCUUGUUCUUUGUUUGCUCGCAGGAAAUAGACCCUCAUGGUCAGGUUGAUCGUGCUCCGGCGUGGUCAAUAACCCUCGGAAGUUGGUUUAGCGAUUGCUAAGGCGCGACAUCUUCGCACGUUCGUAGUCGGAUCGUCAAAGUCGACUCCCACAGAAAAUGUUAUCUAUCUCAUCGAAACAUCGGGACACCUUUGCCUCUAUCAGGUCGCCCCAUCCCGGGAGCGGCCACGGCGCAUGCGCCACCUCCCGGAUGAGCCAACCAAGCCGCUGUGCUCAACGGAGCUUCUGAUCUUCAAGCACCACCGCCACGUGACCCUGCUGCCCCUGUGGUCGUCCCACAGCAGUGUGGGCACGGUGCCGCCACCGUCGCCGCCACCGCUAGCACCAUCCGGAGCCAGGCGACAGUGUGGUCGACGUUAUCGACAUCCAUGCCAAGCACGACCAUGGAAGCCGUGGCGCGAGCUCAGCUAUUGCUGAGGUUCCUGCCAGCAUCCGAGCAGAUGGACGAGUGGCGUGCCACCAUCCAAAGCCUUCUCGGUUUCACCGAAGUUGGGGGCUCGCGACGAUCUUGCCCAUUGGAACCUCCCCAAGCAACAGCCACCGCUCGCGCCGUUAGCCGUACGAAGGGGCUGUCCCCACGGUUCUGUCCACACCAUGGCAGCCAGCAAGGACACAACAGAAUCAAGACCAUGAGUACAUCUCGAUGGCCUCUUUUGACCCUCGAGCAUGUCCAGGCCGACGUUGAACCCCGGAAGAUAGGCAGGAGGGAGAAGCGCGCGUCAUCGCCGAACGGCGCCGCAACUACCCCCGCUAGACCGACGAGUGCGAUGCCCUCAACUUCGACGAAUCUGCGCUCGGUGUGGGCGGGUGCCUACCUUUCGAGGUCGGCUGCCCUACCUUCACACGUGAGCUGCGGAAAGUCUGUUGGCCGUCCAUUCGCACGUUCAAGCCAGAGAUACCUGAGAAGUAUGAUGAGAGGUUGGACCCGACAGAGUUCCUGAGCAUCUACACCAUCGAUGUUCAGGCUGUCGGGGGAAGAGAUGAGAAGGUGUUCGCCAACUACUUCGCUUUGGCCCUCAUCUCCAACGUGAGGUCUUUGCUGAUGCACCUACCAGAGAACUCCAUUUCGUCACGGGCAGACCUGUGCCACAAGUUCAUCGGUGCCUUCACCGACGACCCCCAAGAGCCCGGCAGACCCAGCGACCUCCAGCUUCUCCAGCAGAAGGAAGGAGAAACCCUCUGUAAGUAUUUGUAGAGACUCAGUAUAGAUCAUAUAAAUAUUCCAAAUAUCCAUCCGGCAGCCGUUAUAGCAGCUUUCCAGUCCAAUGUGCGCAACUGCCGCAUUCAUUCCAAAAGGAACGUGCGGUUGCCCAAGACUAUGAAAGAACAAUAUACACUGGUGGAUAAAUGUGCCCGGAUGGAAGGAGGGAGGAAGUUGCCCGGAGAGGAAGAUUGCGUUAAUGUUGAUUCAGACGAUGAGGAUGAAUCAACCAGUUAGAGGAAGGGCAAGAAGCAUAGUAUGAAGCCAAGAGAUAAGGCGGUGAUGAGUGUAGAAGGUUUCGGCACACCUAGUACCGGCAAGAUGGCCAAGGCUGAGGCCCCCGGCAAGGAAGCUGCCGCGUGCACUGCCUACCAGGAAGCCGCUGCCACGGAAAAAGUUGGGAAAUGUGAUGGGCCAUACUACAAGAUCCACCGGACCAAAGGCCACGAUCUUCAGGAGUGUUAUCAGGUUGAGCAGUUUGUCAAGAAAUAGAGGGCAGAGUAUGAUAAGCGUGAUAAGGAAAAAGGUCAGAAUGUUGCUGGCGGUAAGGGCCAAGGCGGUGAAGCAAAUUGCCCUAGCAAACCCUUUCGGAACCAAGGAAAACCCGCCAAGGGCCAAGGGAAGGAAACUUGUGAUGAUGCCAGUGAUGGAGGGAAUGAGGAGGAAACUAGUGAGCAAGAAUUUCAGAAGGCCACUAACGCCCUAUGUAUUGAUGGGGAUGCAUCUUUGCACUCCUCUCAACUCCAACUCAAGCGAUGUGCACGGGAGUUCAAUGCUGUGGAACCAGCGCUAGAGGCCCGAAAACUGCUCAAAUGGUCCCGCACACCCAUCAUUUUUUACGAAGAGGAUCACCCUGAUCACACCACAACGGUAGGGUGUUUACCAUUGUUGGUCUCCCCAACAAUUCGCAACCUCAAGGUCACAAAGAUGCCAGUGGACGGCGGGGACAGGUUGAAUCUGAUUUCCCCCACAGUUAUUAGCAAGCUUCAGAUAGGAGAAGAGGAGCUAGAGGCCACUGGCAUGUUUCAAGGAGUUAAUCCCGGCAGGAGGCAUCCUAAGGGGGAGAUUAUGUUGCCAGUGACGUUUGGGGGAGAGCUGAAUGAUCGGACUAAGAAGAUUGUGUUUGAUGUGGUUGAUCUCCCCCUUCCGUACAAUGGGAUUCUUGGACGACCAGCCCUGGCCAAGUUCAUGGCAGCAUCCCACUAUGCUUACAACACCCUAAAAAUGCAUGUGCCAUUGGGAGUCCUCACUAUCCCGUCAGAUGAGAAGGAUGCAAUUAUCUGUGUGGACAAGAUGUAUCGGGAUGCAGUCGUAGCAGAGGCUGCGGCAGCAGCAGCUCCCGCCAAGGAAAGCAAUGGAAAGAAGAGGGAUUGUAGGACCUCCGACAAGGUGUCUGAUACGUCUCCAACGUAUCUAUAAUUUUUGAUUGCUCCAUGCUAUAUUAUCUACUGUUUUAGACAUUAUUGGGCUUUAUUAUCCACCUUUAUAUUAUUUUUGUGACUAACCUAUUAACCGGAGGCCCAACCCAGAAUUGCUGUUUUUUGCCUGUUUUAGGGUUUCGAAGAAAAGGAAUAUCAAACGGAGUCAAAAUGGAGUGAAACCUUCGGAAACGUGAUUUUCUCAUCAGAUAAGAUCCAAGAGACUUGGACCCUCCGUCAAGAAAGCCACGAGGUGGUCACGAGGGUGGAGGGCACCCCCCCUAGGGCGCGCCCUCUGCCUCGUGGGCCCCUCGAAGCUCCACCGACAUACUUCUUCCUCCUAUAUAUAUCCACGUACCCCCAAACGAUCAGGGACGGAGCCAAAAACCUAAUUCCACCGCCGCAACUUUCUAUAUCCACGAGAUCCCAUCUUGGGGCCUGUUCCGGAGCUCCGCCGGAGGGGGCAUCGAUCAUGGAGGGCUUCUACAUCAUCAUCCAAGCCCCUCCGAUGAAGUGUGAGUAGUUUACUUUAGACCUACGGGUCCAUAGCUAAUAGCUAGAUGGCUUCUUCUCUCUUUUUGGAUUUCAAUACAAUGUUCUCCCCCUCUCUCAUGGAGAUCUAUUCGAUGUAAUCUUCUUUUUGCGGUGUGUUUGUUGAGACCAAUGAAUUGUGGGUUUAUGAUCAAGUCUAUCUAUGAAUAAUAUUUGAAUCUUCUCUGAAUUCUUUUAUGUAUGAUUAGUUAUCUUUGCAAGUCUCUUCGAAUUAUCAGUUUGGUUUGGCCUACUAGAUUGGUUGUUCUUGCCAUGGGAGAAGUGCUUAGCUUUGGGUUCGAUCUUACGGUGUCCUUUCCCAGUGACAGAAGGGGCAGCAAGGCACAUAUUGUAUCGUUGCCAUCAAGGAUAACAAGAUGGGUUUUUUAUCAUAUUCCAUGAAACUAUCCCUCUACAUCAUGUCAUCUUGUUGAGGGCGUUACUCUGUUUUUAACUUAAUACUCUAGAUGCAUGCUGGAUAGUGGUCGAUGAGUGGAGUAAUAGUAGUAGAUGCAGAAUCAUUUCGGUCUACUUGUCUCGGACGUGAUGCCUAUAUACAUGAUCAUACCUAGAUAUUCUCAUAACUAUGCUCAAUUAUGUCAAUUGCUCAACAGUAAUUUGUUCACCCACCGUAGAAUACUUAUGCUUUUGAGAGAAGCCACUAGUGAAACCUAUGGCCCCGGGGUCUCUUUCUCGUCAUAUCAAUCUCCAUCAGUUUAUUAUUGCUUUGCUUUUACUUUGCUUUUAGUUUGUUUACUUUGCAUCUCUAUACCAAAAAUAUUAUUUAUCAUCUCUAUCAGAUCUCACUUUCGUAAGUGAUCGUGAAGGGAUUGACAACCCCUAAGCGUGCUGGUUGCGUUGAGCUAUUGUUUUUAUGUAGGUACGAGGGACUCGAGCGUAGCCUCCUACUGGAUUGAUACGUUGGUUCUCAAAAACUAAGGUAAAUACUUACGCUACUUUGCUGCAUCAUCCCUUCCUCUUCGGGGAAAUCCAACACAGUGCGCAAGAGGUAGCAAGAAGAAUUUUUGGCACCGUUGCCGGGGAGUCUGCGCAAAUGUCAACAUACCAAGUACCCAUCACAAUCCCUAUCUCCCGCAUUACAUUAUUUGCCAUUUGCCUCUCGUUUUCCUCUACCCCACUUCACCCUUGCCGUUUUAUUCGCCCUCUCUCUCUCCUUCCUCCCUCUCUAUUUGCCUCUUUUGCCUGUUUGCUUUUUGUUUGCUCGUGUCUUAGUUUGCUUGUUUGUCGCGAUGGCUCAAGAUAAUACUAAAUUUUGUGACUUCACCAAUACCAAUAAUAAUGAUUUCCUUAGAACUCCGAUUGCUCCUCUUACCGAUGCUGAAUCUUGUGAAAUUAAUACUGCUUUGUUGAAUCUUGUCAUGAAAGAUCCGUUCUCCGGCCUUCCUAGUGAAGAUGCCGCUACCCAUCUAAAUAGCUUCGUUGAUUUGUGUGACAUGCAAAAGAAGAAAGAUGUGGAUAAUGAUAUUGUUCAAUUGAAGCUAUUUCCUUUUUCGCUUAGAGAUCGUGCUAAAGAUUGGUUUUCGUCUUUGCCUAAAAAUAGUAUUGAUUCAUGGAACAAGUGCAAAGAUGCUUUUGUCUCUAUGUAUUUUCCUCCGACUAAGAUCAUCUCUCUUAGAAACGAUAUUAUGAAUUUUAAACAAAUUGAUCAUGAACAUGUUGCACAAGCUUGGGAGAGAAUGAAAUUAAUGAUAUGUAAUUGCCCUACUGAUGGUUUGAAUUUGUGGAUUUAAUUUUGCUUCUAGAAAUCUUUUAGAUUCGGCCGCGGGAGGCACUUUUAUGGAAAUCACUUUAGGAGAAGCUACUAAACUCCUAGAUAAUAUUAUGGUUAAUUAUUCUCAAUGGCAUACUGAAAGUCCACUAAAAAGGUGCAUGCGAUAGAAGAAAUUUAUGUUUUGAGUGGAAAGAUGGAUGAACUUAUGAAAUUAUUUGCUAAUAAGAGUGUUUCUUCUGAUCCUAAUGAUGUGCCCUUGUCUACUUUGAUUGAGAAUAAUAAUGAAUCUAUGGAUGUGAAUUUUUUUUGGUAGGACCAAUUUUGGUAACAACGCGUAUAGAGUAAAUUUCAAUCCUAGGCCUUAUCCUAGUAAUCCUCUAAUAAUUAUGGUAAUUCCUACAACAAUUCUUAUGGGAAUUAUAAUAAUAUGCCCUCUGAUUUUGAAUCUAAUAUUAAAGAAUUUAUUUCUUCGCAAAAGAAUUUUAAUGCUAUGAUUGAAGAAAAAUUGCUUAAGAUUGAUGAUCUGGCUGGGAACGUUGAUAGAAUUGCUCUUGAUGUUGAUUCUUUGAAACAUAUAUCUAUUCCACCUAAGCAUGAUAUCAAUGAGUCUCUCAAAGCCAUGAGAAUUUCCAUUGACGAGUGCAAAGAAAGAACCGCUAGGAUGCGUGCUAAGAAAGAUGCCUUUAUAAAAGCGUGUUCUUCUAGUUCCUAUGAAAAUAAUGAUUGAGAUCUAAAAGUUAUUGAUGUGUCCCCUAUUAAAUCUUUGUUUUGCAAUAUGAAUCUUGAUAAUUAUGGGACUGAUUAUGAUCCACCUUUACCUAGAAGGCGUUCUAAGAAUUCGGAAUUUGUUGAUCUUGAUGCUAAAUUUGAUAAAAGUGGGAUUGAAGAAAUUAAAACCCUAGAUGUUGCUAAACCCACUAUUAUGGAUUUCAAGGAAUUUAACUAUUAAAAUUGCUCUUUGAUUGAUUGUAUUUCCUUGUUGCAAUCCGUGCUAAAAUCUCCUCACGCUUAUAACCAAAAUAAAGCAUUUACUAAACAUAUCGUUGAUGCCUUGAUGCAAUCUUAUGAAGAAAACUUGAAUUGGAAGUUUCUAUCACUAGAAAACUUUAUGAUGAGUGGGAACAAACUAUUAAAAUUAAAAUUAAAAAUUAUGAGUUUUAUGCUUUGUGUGAUUUGGGUGCUAGUGUCUCUACUAUUCCCUAAACUUUGUGUGAUUUACUAGAUUUUUGUGAUUUUGAUGAUUUCUCUCUAAACUUGCAUCUUGCGGAUUCCACUAUUAAGAAACCUAUGGGAAUAAUUAAUGAUGUUCUUAUUUUUGCAAAUAGGAAUUAUGUGCGCAUAGAUUUUAUCGUUCUUGAUAUAGAUUGCAAUCCUUCUUGCCCUAUUAUUCUUGGUAGACCUUUCCUUAGAACGGUUGGUGCAAUUAUUGAUAUGAAGGAAGAGAAUAUUAGAUUUCAAUUUCCAUUAAAAAAGGGCAUGGAACUCUUCCCUAGAAAAAAAUAAAAUUACCAUAUGAAUCUAUCAUGAGAGCCACUUAUGGAUUGCCUACCAAAGAUGGCAAUACCUAGAUAUAUUCUUGCUUGUUAUGCCUAGCUAGGGGCGUUAAACGAUAGUGCUUGUUGGGAGGCAAACCAAUUUUUUUUUAUUCCUUGAUUUUUUUUCUCCUGUUUAGUAAUAAAUAAAUUAUCUAGCCUCUGUUUUGGUUGUGUUUUUUGUGUUUAAUUAGUGUUCGUUCCAAGUAGAACCAUUGGGAAGACUUGGGGAAAGUCUUGUUGAACUUGCUGUAAAAAAUAGAAACUUUAGCACUCACGAGAACUGCUGUCAUUUUUAUUUGGAAAGUGAUAUUUAGUUAAUUCUUUUUGAAGAUGAUUAAUACAUAAAUUCCUCACGUCCAUCAAUUUAUUUUAGAAUUUUUGGGGUUCCAUAUCUUGCGCUAGAUACAGAUUACUACAGACUGUUCCGUUUUUGACAGAUUCUGUUUUUCGUGUGUUGUUUGCUUAUUUUGAUGAAUAUAUGGCUAGUAAAAUAGUUUAUAAUCCAUAGAGAUGUUGUAAUACAGUAGGUAUAACACAAAUAUAAAUAAAUAAUGAGUUCAUUGCAGUACCUUGAAGUGGUCUUUUGUUUUCUUUCGCUAACGGAGCUCACGAGUUUUCUACUUUAAGUUCUGUGUUGUGAAGUUUUCAAGUUUUGGGUAAAGAUUUGAUGGAUUAUGGAACAAGGUAUGGCAAGGGCCUAAGCUUGGUGAUGCCCAUGGCACCCCAAAGAUAAUCUAAGGACACCUAAAAUCCAAAGCUUGGGGAUGCCCCGGAAGGCAUCCCCUCUUUCGUCUACUUCUAUCGGUAACUUUACUUGGAGCUAUAUUUUUAUUCACCACAUGAUAUGUGUUUUUCUUGGAGCGUCUUUUAUUGUUUGAGUCUUUGAUUGUUAGUCUAUCACAAUCAUCCUUGCUGUACAUACCUUUUGAGAGAGCCAUACAUGAUUUGGAAUUUUAUAGAAUAAUCUAUGUGCUUCACUUAUAUCUUUUGAGCUUUAUAAUUUGGCUCUAGUGCUUCACUUAUAUCUUUUAAAGCACGAUGGUGGAUUUGUUUUAUAGAAACUAUUGAUCUCUCAUGCUUCACUUAGAUUAUUUUGAGAGUCUUAAUAUCAUGGUAAUUUGCUUAAAAUCCUAAUAUGCUUGGUAUGCAAGAUUAGUAAUAAAACUUUCGUAUGAGUGUGUUGAAUACUAAGAAAAGUUUGAUGCUUGAUGAUUGUUUUGAGAUAUGGAGGUAAUAAUAUCAAAGUCAUGCUAGUCGAGUAGUUGUGAAAUUGAGAAAUACUUGUGUUGAAGUUUGCAAGUCUCGUAGCAUGCACGUAUGGUAAACGGUAUGCAACAAAUUUGAAACAUGAGGUGUUAUUUGAUUGUCUUCCUUAUGAGUGGCUGUCGGGGACGAGCGAUGGUCUUUUCCUACCAAUCUAUCCCCCUAGGAGCAUGCGCGUAGUGCCGAGGUUUUUGAUGACUUGUAGAUUUUUGCAAUAAGUAUCCGAGUUCUUUAUGAAUAAUGUUGAGUCCAUGGAUUAUACGCACUCUCACCCUUCCAUCCUUGCUAGCCUCUUCGGUACCGUGCAUUGCCCUUUCUCACAUUGAGAGUUGGCGCAAACUUCGCUGGUGCAUCCAAACCGCGUGAUAUGAUACACUCUUUCACACAUAAACCUCCUUAUAUCUUCCUCAAAAUAGCCACCAUACCUACCUAUUAUGGCAUUUCCAUAGCCAUUCCGAGAUAUAUUGCCAUGCAACUUUCCAUCAUUCCGUUCAUCAUGAUACACUCAUCAUUGUCAUAUUGCUUAGCAUGAUCAUGUAGUUGACAUAGUAUUUGUGGCAAAGCCACCGUUCAUAAUUCUUUCAUACAUGUCACUCUUGGUUCAUUGCAUAUCCCGGUACACCGCUGGUGGCAUUCAUAUAGAGUUAUCUUUGUUCUAGUAUCGAGUUGUAAUCAUUGAGUUGUAAAUAAAUAGAAGUGUGAUGAUCAUCAUUAUUAGAGCAUUGUCCCAAGUGAGGAAUAAAUAAAAAAGGGAAAGGCCAUAAAAAAAGAAGUCCCAAAAAAAUUGAGAGAAAAAGAGAGAAGGGACAAUGUUACUAUCCUUUUACCACACUUGUGCUUCAAAGUAGCACCAUGAUCUUCAUAGUAGAGAGUCUCUCAUGUUAUCACUUUCAUAUACUAGUGGGAAUUUUUCAUUAUAGAACUUGGCUUGUAUAUUCCAACAAUGGGCCUCCUCAAGUGCCCUAGGUCUUCGUGAGCAAGCAAGUUGGAUGCACACCCACUAGUUUCUUUUGUUGAGCUUUCAUACAUUUAUAGCUCUAGUGCAUCCGUUGCAUGGCAAUCCCUACUCCUUGCAUUAACAUCAAUCGGUGGGCAUCUCCAUAGCCCAUUGAUUAGCCUCGUUGAUGUGAGACUUUCUCAUUUUUUGUCUUCUCCACAUAACCCCCCUCUAUUAUAUUCUAUUCCACCCAUAGUGCUAUGUCCAUGGCUCACGCUCAUAUAUUGCGUGAAAAUUUAUAGGUUUGAGAUUACUGAACUAUGAAACAAUUGCUUGGCUUGUCAUCGGGGUUGUGCAUGAUGAUAGCAUUCUUGUGUGACGAAAAUGAAACAUGACUAAACUAUAUGAUUUUGUAGGGAUGAACUUUCUUUGGCCAUGUUAUUUUGAGAAGGCAUAAUUGCUUAUUUAGUAUGCUUGAAGUAUUAUCAUUUUAUGUCAAUAUGAACUUUUGUCUUGAAUCUUUCUGAUCUAAAUAUUCAUACCACAAUUAAGAAGAAAUACAUUAAAAUUAUGCCAGGUAGCACUCUGCAUCAAAAAUUCUGUUUUUAUCAUUUACCUACUCGAGGACGAGCAGGAAUUAAGCUUGGGGAUGCUUGAUACAUCUCCAACGCAUCUAUAAUUUUUGAUUGCUCCAUGCUAUAUUAUCUAUUGUUUUAGACAUUAUUGGGCUUUAUUAUCCACUUUUAUAUUAUUUUUGGGACUGACCUAUUAACCGGAGGCCCAGCCCAGAAUUGUUGUUUUUUUGCCUGUUUUAGGGUUUCAAAGAAAAGGAAUAUCAAAUGGAGUCCAAAUGGAAUGAAACCUUUGGAAACGUGAUUUUCUCAUCAGAUAAGAUCCAAGAGACUUGGACCCUCCGUCAAUAAAGCCACGAGGUGGUCAUGAGGGUGGAGGGCGCGCCCCCUGCCUCGUGGGCCCCUCGAAGCUCCACCGACGUACUUCUUCCUCCUAUAUAUAUCCACGUACCCCAAAACGAUCGGGGACGGAGCCAAAAACCUAAUUCCACCGCCGCAACUUUCUGUAUCCACGAGAUCCCAUCUUGGGGCCUGUUCUAAAGCUCCGCCAGAGGGGGCAUCGAUCAUGGAGGGCCUCUACAUCAUCAUCCAAGCCCCUCCGAUGAAGUGUGAGUAGUUUACUUCAGACCUACGGGUCCAUAGCUAAUAGCUAGAUGGCUUCUUCUCUCUUUUUGGAUCUCAAUACAAUGUUCUCCACCUCUCUCAUGGAGAUCUAUUCGAUGUAAUCUUCUUUUUGCGGUGUGUUUGUUGAGACCAAUGAAUUGUGGGUUUAUGAUCAAGUCUAUCUAUGAAUAAUAUUUGAAUCUUCUCUAAAUUCUUUUAUGUAUGAUUGGUUAUCUUUGCAAGUCUCUUCGAAUUAUCAGUUUGGUUUGGCCUACUAGAUUGGUUGUUCUUGCCAUGGGAGAAGUGCUUAGCUUUGGGUUCGAUCUUACGGUGUCCUUUCCUGGUGACAGAAGGGGCAGCAAGGCACGUAUUGUAUCAUUGCCAUCAAGGAUAAUAAGAUGGGGUUUUUAUCAUAUUGCAUGAAACUAUCCCUCUACAUCAUAUCAUCUUGCUGAGUGCGUUACUCUGUUUUUAACUUAAUACUCUAGAUUCAUGCUGGAUAGCGGUCGAUGAGUGGAGUAAUAGUAGUAGAUGCAGAAUCGUUUCGGUCUACUUGUCUCGGACGUGAUGCCUAUAUACAUGAUCAUACCUAGACAUUCUCAUAACUAUGCUCAAUUCUGUCAAUUGCGCAACAGUAAUUUGUUCACCCACCAUAGAAUACUUAUGCUUUUGAGAGAAGCCACUAGUAAAACCUAUGGCCCCCGAGUCUCUUUCUCAUCAUAUCAAUCUCCAUCACUUUAUUAUUGCUUUGCUUUUACUUUGCUUUUACUUUAUUUAAUUUGCAUCUCUAUACCAAAAAUACCAAAAAUAUUAUUUAUCAUCUCUAUCAGAUCUCACUUUCGUAAGUAACCGUGAAGGGAUUGACAACCCCUAAGCGCGUUGGUUGCGUUGAGCUAUAGUUUUUGUGUAGGUACAAGGGACUCGAGCAUAGCCUCCUACUGGAUUGAUACCUUGGUUCUCAAAAACUGAAGGAAAUACUUACGCUACUUUGUUGCGUCAUCCCUUCCUCUUCGAGGAAAGCCAACGCAGUGCUCAAGAGGUAGCCAUGUCCGAGAAGCGUGCCCCUCCUAGUGCACGACACCCGUUUACGAUGUGCUGAAGUGUUCCAACAGCAAGAGAUCCAAGAUUACUACACCCAAAGUGAAGAAGGUCCUGGCAGGGCUGGCUAGCGUUGACGGUACUUUCACUAUCAGCGCCACCCUCGAUGACAAAUAGGAAAGCGCGCUCAUUGCCUUCCUGCGAGGGAAUAUCGAUGUUUUUUCUUGGCAACCAUAUGAUAUCUCUGGUGUUCCCAGGGAGGUAAUUGAGCACCACCUUGUUGUCUACCCACUUGCCCGGCCCGUUAAGAAGAAGGUACGGAAGCAGGCCUUGGAGAGGCAACAGUUCAUUGCCGAAGAAAUCAAGAGGUUAGAGGCAGCUGGUUUGGUCAGAGGAGUACUGCAUCCUACAUGGUUAGCAAAUCAAGUAGUGGUCCGGAAGGCUAACGGGAAGUGGAGGCUUUGCAUUGAUUUCAAAGACCUCAACAAGGCUUUGCCCAAAGGACCCUUUUCCCUUGCCGCGUAUCGACCAGAUCAUGGAUUAUACUUCGGGCUGUUAUUUGCUCUCCUUUCUGGAUGCAUACUCAGGAUAUCAUCAGAUCUUCAUGUCCAAGGAAGAUGAAGAGAAGACAUCAUUCAUCACUCCGUGUGGUACGUACUGCUUUGUCCGCAUGCAGUUUAGAUUAAAGAGUGUCGGGUCCACUUUUGCAAGGGCAGUCCAAAUCAGUUUUGAGCCAUAACUACAUAGGAAUAUAGAAUCCUAUAUGGAUGAUAUCAUGGUCAAAACCAAGGAUAAGGCCACCCUUAUCCAGGAUUUGGAAGAGAGAUUUGCCAAUCUACGCGAGAUCAACCUGAAGCAUAAUCUGGAGAAGUGUGUAUUUGGUGUUCCCUCUGGCAAGCUAAUCAGGUUCUUCGUGUCCCAUCAGGGGAUCGAAGCCAACCCUGACAAGAUCAAGGCCACUAAGCAGAUCCAAGCACCAAGGACAGUUAAGGAUGUGAGGCGCUUGAUGGGAUGCGUUGCCAUGCUAAGCAGAUUCAUCUCCAAGUUUGCCGAGCGUGCACGGCCGUUCUUCAAGGUUUUGAAGAAGGCAGGGCCUAUGAAGUGGACCCUGGAAGCAGAUGCAGGAAUUGAAAGCCUACUUAUCAUCUGUGCCUACCUUGGUUGCACCCAAACCCCAAGAUCCAUUAUUGCUUUACUUGGCGGCAACCAACCAAGUCGUCAGUGCGGCCUUGGUAGCAUAGCGAGAAGUAGAUGAGGCAGAAGGUGGCCAGAUCGCGAUAGAGUCAGAUAAGAAUCAGGAUAGCAAUGAGCAGGGCAACAAGAGCAACCCCAAGGACGCGGCAAGGAAAAAAGUGGUGCAGCGCCCAGUGUACUUCGUCAGCUCCUUGAUACAGGGGGCUAGAUCGAUGUACUCUGGCAUGCAAAAGUUGAUCUUUGGUCUCAUUAUGGCCUCAAGGAAACUGUGCCACUACUUCCAAGCCCAUGAGAUCACGGUUGUCACUCGUUUCCCAUUGCAAAGUAUACUCCGAAACCCUAAGGCAACUGGCAGCAUAGUGGAAUGGGCUUUGGAGCUAUCCAGCUUUGGUUUGAAGUUUGAGAGCACUUUAACUAUUUAGAGUUGGGCAUUGGCAGAGUUUAUUGCAGAAUGGACGCCAACCCCUGAUGAGGAAAGGGCAGAGACAGUCGUCCCCGGCAAGGAAUCACCCCAAGAAUGGAUUAUGUAUUUUGAUGGUGCUUUUUUCCUAGGAGGAACUACUAGGGAAAAGCCUAGCAGUAGCGCUGGUUUUUGGCCUAUCAGUAGAGCGGGUAAGCGCGCUACUGCUAAGGCGCUACAGCUAAUGCUUAGCAGUAGCGCCUACUGGCACUCUCUACUGCUAUAUCUACUUAGUAGUAGCUCUUUCCAAGUCAAUCGCUACUGCUAAUUAUUAGUAGCACUUUCGAAAACAACCGCUACUAAUAUUAUUCCCUAUUCCAUUUCUUUUGAAUUUUAGGUCGUAUUCAUAUACCUGUAUACAAUUUUUCAUACAGUAGCAAUUUAGAGAUUGUUUUUACAUCGUAAUGAGUUAUUAAAUCACUAGGUGAAAGAACCUUGGAUUAGUUUCAAGUGCAUGGAUCCAAAGUAACCAAUGGUCACUUUGGAUCCAUCCAUUUGAAACUAAUCGGCGGUUCUUUCACCCAAUGACAUAAUAACUUCUCAUCAUCAUCAUAAUAUCAUUAACAACUUAUCAUCAUAAUCUAUCAUUCUCAUAUAACUCCUCAUAAUCAUCAUUUCGUCCAUGAUGGGACAUCAUAUAACAAAUUCGUCACUAGUUAUAAUAACAACUCGUCCUCAUCAUCAUCAUAGUACUCAUAGUCACUACUCCUACUCAGCAUCACCAUCAAGCCUAAGACAUUGUAGUCAUAUAUAAUCAACACUAACUAAUUGUUCUUAAUACUUAGGACCUACUCCUCUCUCCUAGCUAAAAUACCAUAAAACAGAUAAAUCGGUCCUUCACCAUAAUGAAGAAUGGACAUAAACCUAUCUCCAACUUCUGGCUUGCGCACAUUCAUUUUGUCUGCAAUUAUUUGCGUGUUCGCAUUCAUCACUUUGCUCCAUUCUUUGAUUUUGAGCCUUCCAUCAUUUGAAGAAAUCGAGUAUGCAGUAUGGUAAGCCUCCGAAGGAGUUGGUCGUAAGCUAACCAUAUGCAUAACACCUUCGGUAAAUAGCAUGUCAGGCACAACCUGCUUCGAGAGCCUCUGUUCAAAAACGAAAUAGUAACAUAUAUAGUUAGCAAUGGUUUACAUAAGAAUAAUGUAUGCAAUGAAGUUACCAUCAUUAACAAAAUCUUACCAAGUUUUUAGCAAUGAAGUUAUCAUCAAGCAAUGUAUGGACUAGUGGCACGUAUCUAGUAUAAUUUUGGCUGAUAGAGUGACUGGUUUCGAAGGCAUAAACAUCUUCUAUGAAUGAGACAAGAUAACCUUUGUCCUCACAAUUAAGCUUGGAGUCAUAGCUGUAGUAUGUGUUGUCUACUACCUUCCAACUAUUUCUUGAAGAUAAGAAAUAAGUUGAAAAUUAUAAAUAAAUAAGUUUAGUAUGGACGAACACCAAAUAUUUUUAAAUUAACAACAUAAAUUACCGAACUUAACAAAUUAGUUUGACAAACUCACAUCUAGGCAAAACUGGAGGCAUAUCCACAUCCACCCAGAUGUCGAUAUUAUCAUCAUCAUCAUAAUCUUCGGGACGAGUAUCAAAUCUUAUUUGCAUUCCCUCCUCAAAUCCAUAUGCCUUGCAGAGUGCUUCCCAAUUAGAGCAACCGAAAUGGGAGCGAUCGACCGCAUUGUAGAACUUAACCAGAAACUCGUAACCAUGUUUAGUUCUUAAGUGAGCCCUCCUCGUCUCCACAUUCUCAAAGUCAUCUAAACCAAAACCAAGCUUAUCCAAUACAUAUGGUCUAGCAUGGCAUGGGAUAUACUAAUCGAAUUGAAAAAAAUCCAUAAAUUACAGGUUGAACAAAAGAAGCACAAGUGAUGAUAUUAAUUAUGAUGAAAUGCGUGUCGUUGCAUACCAUACAAACAUCGAAGGUCUCUUCCAGCUUCACUUUGAAAAACCUAUCAUUUUGCAGGCAAGGAAACCUGUCGCACACACCCCGGUCAUCAUAGCAGUACCCGCACUCCGGGAUCCCAUCGUCAUUAGACAUCUCCUGUGUUCAAAAUUCAGAGAUUAUAACUCGACAGCAAAACCCAAAAAAUCCGGCAUGACCUUUGCUAAAAAAGGACACAUCGAGCGCGUGAAAUUUGCCAGAAUGGAAAUUAAUCAACACUCCGGCAAAACAUAGGCCACUUAUCGAUGGUCAUUGCAUUUCAAUGGUUCAAAAUAUGAAAAAUAUAUUCGAAAAUAUCUUAUAUAUAAUCCUAAUACUAAUUAAACUAGUUUUAUUAACUACUUACUAAAUAAACUAGUUUUAUUAACUACUUACUAAAUAAACUAGUUCUAUUAAGAACUUACUAAAUAAACUAGGUCCAUUAAGCACUUAGUAUAAAUAAGCUAGUUAUAUUAAUCACUUGCUAAAUAAACUAGUGACCUAUGAUUUGCAAAAACAAAGACAAGAGAGGGAGGCAGGAGAGAGGAGGGGGANNNNNNNNNNNNNNNNNNNNNNNNNNNNNNNNNNNNNNNNNNNNNNNNNNNNNNNNNNNNNNNNNNNNNNNNNNNNNNNNNNNNNNNNNNNNNNNNNNNNNNNNNNNNNNNNNNNNNNNNNNNNNNNNNNNNNNNNNNNNNNNNNNNNNNNNNNNNNNNNNNNNNNNNNNNNNNNNNNNNNNNNNNNNNNNNNNNNNNNNNNNNNNNNNNNNNNNNNNNNNNNNNNNNNNNNNNNNNNNNNNNNNNNNNNNNNNNNNNNNNNNNNNNNNNNNNNNNNNNNNNNNNNNNNNNNNNGGAGGAGGAGGAGGGAGGGGCGGUGGGAGGAGGGCUGCCGGUGUAGGAGGGAGGAGGGGGCGGCCGCAGGCGGAGGGAGGAGGGCGCGGUGGGAGGAGGAGGGUGGAGGGCACGGUGGGAGGAGGAGGGACGGAAGGAGGGAGUACCUCGGUGGCGGACGGACGACGGCGGCGGCGGCGACGACGAACGACAAUGGUUAACGGCGUGGGCGAGAGUGACUCAGAGGGAGAGUGAGUGAGAGAGAGGGUCGGCCACGUGGUGAUAAGGUAGAGUUAGUAGUAGCGUAGGUAUGAAAAAGCGCUAUAGGUAAGGAGAAUAGCGGUAGCGCGGUACGGUGUAAGGUGCUACUGCUUUAACUAGCUGGACGGCGAGGUCAUGGCAAUUAGAGUAGUAGCGCAGUUUAGAGAUGACGCGCUACUGCUAUUUUUCUUUCAGCAGCACGUUUUCCCGGCACACGUUGUUGCUAAAUAGCAGUAGCAUCGUAUUUUGAAGAGCGCUGCUGGUAAUAUUCUGUGUAUAAGGUUUUCCCUAGUAAGUGAGGUGCAGUGGCUAGCAUGCUUCUUGUUGCCCCCUUCGGGGAGCAUUUGAAGUACGUCGUCCAGAUGCACUUUGCCCGGGAAGAAGCCACCAACAAUACAACAGAGUAUGAAGGGCUCCUUGGCGGGCUCAUGAUUGCAGUAGAAUUGGGAAUUAAAAAGCUGAUCACUCGAGGAGAUUCACAACUUAUGGUGAGACAAGUCAACAAGGAUUACCAAUGCCCAUUUAUGGAAACAUACGUUGAGGAAGUAAGUAGAAUGGAGGAGCACUUUGACGGGUUGCAAACAGAGCACGUACCCCGUGCAGAAAACAGCAUAGCUGAUCACCUUUCAAAGUGUGCUACACAGAAGCUUCCUGUGGAACAAGGAACUUUUGUUCUCCAUCUCUCUCAACCCUCCAUAUCACCAGCCAGAAUGGCUCGGAAGAGGAGAGAGUUGGACUACGGUAAGCCUCUCCCAGCAUAGCCAUCCGCUCCGGGAAGAGACCCUGCCAGAAACAACUCCUCACAGCCUACCGGACCACCCCUCCAGCCGGUCCUAUGGACCCCGCGUACGAGGCUGGUGCUCCCGCAGCAGAGGAGGUGCCGCUAGUCCUUGUUGCCGAGCCUCAGGCUCCAACUUGGGCAAUGCGCAUUGUCCACUUCCUCCAAACCGGAGAACUCCCUAGCAACCAAGAUAAAGCUGAAAGAGUAGCCCAGAGAGCCGAUAUGUAUCAGUUUGUCGAUGAUACUCUAUACAGAAGAAGGCCCAACGGUGUGAAAUUGAAGUGUGUUUGCUGGGAGGAAGGAAAGGAACUGCUGGCUAAGAUUCACAAAGGAAUGUGCGGCUCACACAUUGGAUCAAGGGCAUUAGUUGGGAAAGCAUUACGGCAAGGAUUCUAUUGGCCCACAGCCCUCCAAGAUGUAGUUGAGCUUGUCAGGAAAUGUGAAGCCUGUUAGUUCCAUUCCACGAGAACACACCUGCCUACCCAAGCCCUUGAGAGAAUCCCUCUACCAUGGCCAUUUUCGGUCUGGGGGCUCAAUAUCCUCGGCCCCUUCCCCUGAGCAAUUUGGGGCUUUGAAUUCUUGUUCAUUGCCAUCGACAAGUUUGCAAAGUGGCUGGAAGUGACUGCCAUGAGAAAGGUGAUUGCUCAGUCAGCUAUCAAGUUCUUGAAAGAAUUGGUGUGUCGCUUCGGAGUUCCAGCAAGGAUCAUUACAAACAACGGCACCCAUUUCACGAGCCAUGACUUCAUGCAAUACGUUCAGACCCUUGGAUGAAAAAUCUCAUUCGCUUCUGUGGCACACCCACGGAGCAAUGGAGAAGCUGAGAGGGCGAACGCUGAAGUGCUUCGUCGACUCAAGACAAGAACUUUCGAUACGCUGCAGAAGCACGGCAGGCUGUGGAUUGAGGAGCUGCCAGUAGUUCUUUGGUCCCUCAAAAUGACACCUAACCGAGCUACCGGGUAGACUCCCUUCUCACUGGUCUACGGGGCAGAAGCAGUUAUCCCCACGGAACUCAUUUACGGACACCCUCGAGUGCUUGCCUCCGAUGAAGUAGUGCAAGAUCAGCACCGGCGUGACGACACCGUGCUACUUGAGGAGAACCGUCUCCGGCCUACUACACGUGUUGCAUGCUACCAGCAAGCCCUGUGUUGCUAUCAUAGACGCAGGGUUCGUGCUCAGUGUUUUGAGGAAGGUGACCUUGUCCUUAGGCGCGUUCAGUCCGCCAAGGGUACACACAAGCUUUCACCGAAGUGGUAAGGUCCUUACUGGGUGGCACACAGUUGCAAAACUCAUGGAAUCUUGAGAAUUUUCAUAAGUACUACCCAUAAGGUGCGAGGCUACCGGGCACUGCCCGACAGCCACCCUUUUGUAUAGGCCUAGACUCAGUUCCACGUAACCCCUUGUACGAAGCCGGGACGAUGACUCCAUGCAAGAUAAAAUAAAGAAGUGCUGUGGGGGGGCCCGAUCGAGAUCGCAUGCAUGCACGAGCACACCCAGAUCACUGCAUAAGCAUUUCAUGAGCAUUUGCAUAUGCAUAUAGAUAGGAUUGCAUCCUGCAUUCAUUCUCGUCCUCAUGGAGUUGCAGGUUCCUGCCGUGAACUUAUCCAUUACUGUUCUAUAAGCUAUAACUUGUGCAUAGAGAAACCUCGCCGUUCUCUUGGAACUAGGGAACUCCAAUCCUUAGCUCGAACGCAGCUUCGGCCUGGAUGGUCGUAGUGGCCCUUGGUGAAAAGGGAGUGGGCAGGGGGCUGGCGCCUCAGUUUGUUCCCCGGCAGACAUGGUUCUCCGGCAGACGAGAAGGGUGCCGGCAGGAUAUCCUGCUAGGGAAAACUCCUUUAAUUACAGUAAAGAGGCACUCCACCUCUGCAUAGACAUAUACAUGCAUAGGUUCUCGGCAAGGUUUAUCUCUUUCAUUGAUGCAAGUACAUGUGUUACAGAACACAAAAAUGGACUUGAAAGAUUAUAUUAUUUGAAUUAAAAUUUGGCAUUGCCUACGAGUUUAAGAUUGAAAAAACAUAACUGCUCCGUAAUUCCCUUUCCUGUCCCUCUCCUCGUAGGCACAAUCGUCGAAGGCGAGGAGGACAAAAGGAGCGCCAGAGGGAAUGGAAGCAUGAGGGAACGCCUCAAUGGAGAGCACCGCGGAAGGCGGCCCCGUCAACUACCGUCACCAGGGCCAGUUGGAUUUGGCAAGGCUAACGGAGCUGCAGCCUGAGAGGAAGCCUGCCAGGGUCCAGCUGGAAGACUGUUGGAGGAGCCCGACAGCACCAUCCUCACCUCUGCAUCCAACUCCCCGGCAAAUCACAUUGCUAGGGAAGAGGCGCAGAUGCAUAUGGUGGUACUGCACCCUAAUGAAGAUGUUGCGGGCGACAAUCAGCUGGAGUCAGAGUCGUCGCUCCUCCGCCCGCUACCAUCGUCAUCACCGUCGUUGUCCUCCUCGUCGCUUUCGCUCAAGGAGGAGCUUUCAUCGUUGGUCGAGCUCUCCAAGCAGCACCCUAAGUGGCCUAGCCCGAGCGCCUGAAGAUCUUGACGAGGAGUAGGCCACUCUCCAUUAUUUUGAAAUGGAGAAUGUGCCCCUCCGAGAAGCUGUGGGCACGAGCGAAGGUCUUCUAGCCACGACAAAGAUAAAUUACAUGUGGGGCGGGGAAAUCGACGUCAACCCACAUGCUUCCAUUCUCGUAGCCCCUCAUGUGUAGCCUCAGAGUGUGCGGUUGCUCGAGCUCCAUCUCCCGGGAAAAGAAGGCUGGAAGACGAAGGUGACCACACAAGGGCUUACAUAGCCUGAUGAUGAACUCUCAUGGUUGAUCCCUGACGUCGCCUUCCAUCGGAGGAAGUGCCGCCAGCGGAGGCACAGCCGAGGAGCUCCCUCAUCCUCCUAUUCCUCGGGCACCAUGGCGGCCUCGACUGCACCCCCUCCACCCUCCUCUCGCAGCGGGCUCUGCUGCCUCAGGAUCUGGAGGAGGAGGGAUACGCUGCCGAGUGGAAGCCCUCGUCACCACUGUCGAGACACUACUGCGCCCUUGCCCCCUCACCAUCGCUAACAAGAAUUGCGGAGAAGGAGUGGUAUGUGCAAAGUGGUACUGCCUUCGCCUCUUUUAAUAAAGGGGACGAGUGUAACACCCAGGAUGCGGCUAUAUCUCCCACGUGUUGGAGCACGACUUAGAGGCAUAACCGCAUAGUAGGCAUGUCGCAAGAGGGGUAAUCUUUACACAUCCCAUGUACUGAAUAAGAAAGGGAUAAAGACUAGGCUUACAAUCGCCACUUCACACAAUACAUAAAUAUCAAGGUCCGGCUACGGAACCAAAUAAAGAAAGAUAACCCCUAAUGCUAGAUCCCUGAUCGCCCCGACUAGGCUCCACUACUGAUCAACUGGGAACGAAACGACACAACGAACAAGAUCUUCAUCGAGCUCCCAUCUGAGCUCGGUUGCACCACCUCCACUGACAUCAUCGGUACCUGCAUUUGGUUUUGGAAGUAUCUAUGAGUCAGGGGGACUCAACAAUCUCGCACCCUUGCGAUCAAGACUAUUUAAGCUUAAAAGGUAGGAAAGGGUAGUGAGGUGGAGCUGCAACAAGCACUAGCAUAUAUGGUGUCUAACUUACACAAAUGAGAGCGAGAAUAGAAGCAAAGCACGGUUGUGAGCUAGAAGUUAUCAAGAAGUGAUCCUGUAGCUACCUACGUUCAAGCAUAACACGAGACCGUGUUCUCUUCCCGGACUCCGCCGAAAAGAGACCAUCACGGCUACACAAGCUGUUGAUUCAUUUUAAUUAAGUUAAGUGUCAGGUUUUCUACAACCGAACAUUAACAAAUUCCCAUCUUCCCAUAACCGCGAGCAUUGUCCCAACUUAGCCCAUCACAAGCUCUCGCGGUCAACGAAGGAUAUUCCUUCUCCCAGGAUGACCCGAUCAGACUCGGAAUCUCGGUUACAAGACCUUUCGACAAUUGUAAAACAAUACCAGCAAAGCCUCUCGAAUGUGCCGACAAAUCCCGAUAGGAGCUGCACAUAUCUCGUUCUAAGGGCACACCGGAUUGUUCAAACUUCCGGUAGGCCAGCCCAGAGUUGCCCCUGGUGGCCACAGGUGGCUGACAAGUUGGACCAACACUCAGAGGAGCACUGGCCCGGGGGUUUAAAAUAAAGAUGACCCUUGACUCUGCAGAACCCAAGGGAAAAAGGCUUAGGUGGCAAAUGGUAAAACCAAGGUUGGGCCUUGGUAGAGGAGUUUUAUUCAAGGCGAACUGUCAAGGGGUUCCCAUUAUAACCCAACCGCGUAAGGAACACAAAAUCAAGGAACAUAACACCGGUAUGACGAAAAUUAGGGCAGCAAGAGUGGAACAAAACACCAGGCAUAAGGCCGAGCCUUCCACCCUUUACCAAGUAUAUAGAUGCAUUAAAGUAAACAAGAUAUAAUAAUGAUAUCCGAACAACAUCCAUGUUUCAACAUGGAACAAACUCCAUCUUCACCUGCAACUAACAACGCUAUAAGAGGGGCUGAGCAAAGCGGUAACAUAGCCAAACAAUGGUUUGCUAGGACAAGGUGGGUUAGAGGCUUGACAUGGCAAUAUGGGAGGCAUGAUAUAGCAAGUGGUAGGUAUCUCGGCAUAGCAAAAGAGCAAGCAACUAGCAAGCAAAGAUAGAAGUGAUUUCGAGGGUAUGGUCAUCUUGCCUGCAAAGUUCUCCGAGUUGACGAUAGCUUGAUCCUCGUAAGCAUACUCAACGGGUUCCUCGAUCGCGUACUCGUUUCCCGGCUCUACCCAAAGCAAGAACACAAGCAAGGGAAGCAAAAAUCAACCACGGUGCAAUGCGCAAGCAACAUGAUGCAAAACAUGGCAUGGUAUGCGGGAUGUGAUAUGCAAUGCAUAUGCGUGCUCCGGAAGGAAAAGAUUGAACCAGGCCUCAACUUGGCAAACCAAGUGUGGCGCUGGAAAGAUGAGUUGAUUUAGGUCGAAAUCGAUAUAAAGAUCGCCGGAAACGGAUGCACGGUUUUCAAAUGGCAAGCAAAACAAUAAUGGCACAAUUCUGCGAUUAACAACACGAUGCCAUCUAGAAUGCAACAAGAAUUUAAGCUACUGCGCUCCAACAUCGCAACAAAGAAAAUGGAAGUGAUAUACUCAAGAUGCUUGACAAAAGAUGAACACUAAUCUACGGCUAAAUCACACAAGAGCAGGUUCAAACAAGCAUGGCAAAAGUGCAAAAGAUAUCAGCAUCGCAGACUUUUUGAAAAUACUAGCAUGUCAAGAAUUAACAUCAGGAAGCAAUGUUUCGAGCAGGAUAUCAACAUGCUACAAGAACAGAACUUAGCAAUACAAGGCGUGGCAUGGAUCUACUCAAAGCAUAUAACAAAAGUACCUUACUCACCAUAAGCCAAAAUGGCACUGAAAAUAUGAUGGCACCCAUGUAAACAUAGCAAGUUUCGUUAACAGAUUCAGACUUUGCAGAAAAACUGAGCAUGGCAUAAACAGAAUUAUGAAGGCAUGUUUGCGAGCUCGAUGCACUCAACACAAGGCAUUGCAUGAGAAGCUAAGCAUACUACCAGCAAGAAGACAUGAUCAUGAAGCCAAGCAAAGCAAGAACAAGUUCAUAGCAUGCAUGGAUCAACUACAACAACCUUGGCAAAAUUGAUUAACACAUAAACAAUCUGCCAGGAACAUUUUAUAGCAAAAGUAGAGCCAGAUUGAGUCAUGCUAGGGAACUCCAUAAAAGCAAACAUGGGAAUGGAUGGACAAAGCAUAACAAUAUGUCCAAAUCUUCCUUACUGAAGCAACUCAAAUAAAGCAUCUAUCUCACUGUAGCAAGAUGAAUACAUGGCAUAAAAAUAACAGCAGAGCAAAGACUUAGUGAAAUUCUAAGUCCCUGAAAUUAGCAAUAUUACGAGAGCUACUUUGCAUGCUUGUGAUAGUCAACACAUUGAUCACAACAAUACAUGGCAUACACCCCUAUAACGAUGGCAUGGCAUAGCCCAAAACACAUGUAGAGCUCAUGCCCAUAUGCAACACACAAUAAAUUUAGCAAAAAUGACAAAUGCUCAUACUCUGCUAAGUAACAGGAACUAACAUUUUAAAGCACUCUUGUAUCAACAAUUUGGGCAUCAAGAUGGACUCAAACAAGCAUGGCACAAUGGAUCAAAAUGAAAAGCACAUCCUGAUGAACAUUUUGAUAUAUCAUGCAUGCAAAACGGAUCUACCGAUGAGGAGUUAUGGCAUGAUGAAUAGUGCAUGAAAAUAUGAGCGGGGACAAAGAAUUAGAGAAAAUCAACCUCUUCGAGAAAGUCAACUGGCGGACGAAGAGAUCCGGGACGGAGGGAACCAGGACACGGCGGUGUUUGGUUCGGGCACCCGGUGGAUCUGAUCCACCCGGGCCGGAUCUGGCGGUUAGAACUCCGGCGAGGUCGGCGCGGACUCCGGUGACGAGGGGCGGCGGCAGAGGCGGCAUCCGGCGACGCAGGAGGCGGCACAGCCGGCGCGGGCGGAGGUACGGUGAGCUAGCACGGCAACGGCGCGGAGGAGAUGGCAGCGCGGCGGGGUGGUGGAAGGCGACGGUUGCAGGCGGAGCGUGGCGCUGUGGCGGGGAAGCUGACGGGCGGCGGAGCACGACCGGUGGCGUAGGCGCGAUGCGGCGCGUCAGCGGGAGCCAGGCGACGGAUGCGCGGGCGCGUCUGGGCGGCGGCUCGACACGAUCGGGCCCGGCGCGGGCCAGCCGUGGGCUCUGUGGGCCGCGGCACGGUGGGGAGGAGCCGACGGGCCACGUGGCGCGAGGGGAGUGGUCGACGGCGGCGCUGUGGUGCUGUGUCGGCCUCUGAUUGGACGAAACGCGUGGCAAGUGGCGGUGGACAUGUCCGGUCGUCGAUGGACGUGUCCGACGGCGCGGGGAGGUGGUAGACUAGGGUUUCAUCCGUGAAUUUUCGGGGGGAGGUGCAAAUAUAUAGGUAGAGGGAGCUAGGAGAGCCCAAAUGAGGUGCGGUUUUCGGCCACGUGACCAUGAUCGAAUGACCGAGAGGAUGGAGGGGUUUGGAUGAGUUAUUGGGCCAUUUUGGAGGGGUGUUGGGCUGCAACACACAUGAGGCCUUUACUGUUCCCUAGUUAACCGUUGGAGUAUCAAACAGACUCCAAAUGGCACAAAACAUGACAGUCGGUCUACCAGUGGUGUACCAAGGCCGCUUGGCAAAUCUCGGUCCAUUUCGAGACAGUUUAACACCCACACACGAAAAGAGACAAAAGGGGGCGCCGGAUGACAUAGGAGUGUCGGAUUGCAAAAUGGACAAUGGGGAAAAUGCUCCGAUGCAUGAGACGAACACGUAUGCAACUGCGAUGCACAUGAUGACAUGAUAUGAGAUGCAUGACAUGAACAAAAUGCAAAACAAAGAGAAAAACCAACCACGAAAGAAGCUCAUAUCACAUCUCCGGAAAAAGGCAAGGGUCGGAGUACGAAUAUGGAAUGUUGUAUCCGGGGCGUUACAACACUCCAGCACUACAAGAGGAUCUCGUCCCGACAUCUAGGAUGGCACCGGAGGGAAAAAAUGGAAGAUGAAGAUAAGAAGUAAAACAAAGUUGCUUCUUUGACAAACGAGUGAAACCAAUGAAUCUUGAGAUGUUGAACAAAUUGAAAGAAAGAAUGCAACGAAGAUGAACGAGUUGAAAGCACUCUGUUAGGAAAGAGGAACAAGGAAGAACAAAUACGGGCAGCACUCAGGUUGAGAAGUUAUAAGAAACAUGAUAAGAUGAAAAGAACUAGAAGAGAUGACACAACACUCUGGUUGAGAAGGGAGGUGAAACUUGUCAAAAUGGGAAGAACUUGAUAAGAGGGCACGACACUCCGGUUAAAUGGAUAAGAACGAAGAGAACACAGUAGAGCAACAUCAUGAAGCCUCCAGAAGAAAGAAUAGAAGAUAGAUCAUUGGAAGGAAAGCAUGGAGAAGAAAAUCCCAACUUCAGCUACAAAUGAGUUUGGAAAGCACCCUUCCAAGAAGGUUAUAACGGAGUUGUUCGAAAACCAACAACGAAACGCAUAAACUUGUAGUGGACUUAAGGAAAAUAUCUCAAAAUUAUGAGGUGAAACUCUGCCACUAACGGAAACAAUAGAUUGGAUUGAUAUCAACAAGGAGAGACGAACCACCAUGUAGAGCCUCCAUGAAGAACUCCGGUAAUAAAAAGGAUAACGAAAAGAAAGAGAAGUUAAAUACACAAGGUGAAGCCUUGCGAUGAUUUAGAUGGAGCUUCACGACGAGAUAAUGCAGAAGACCUGGAACUCCGGAAAAGAAAGAUGAACAAAUGAAAUAAAGAAUUUGAUGAGCCUCCGGAAUAAGGAAUUAAUCAUUUGGAUGAAACUAAAAUAAGAAUUACAUUAUGCUUAUCCAUCAUCAAUUAAAUUGAUGACAAUCAACAGAUUUGGCAUACUACUUAUUCUCGUUGAAAGGAUUAAGAUAGAUAUAACGCAAACUUGAGAAGGUCUUCUGCGAACCACCGAUAGGAUUGGGAAGAACGAAUGAAUGGAUAUGAUAACGAAGGAAGAGAAAUCUUGAACGAACCACCGUAAGAAUUGAAAACAUUUGAAGAAAAGAUAAACAAACACCAGGAAGAAUUAGAGAACGAAUGAAGAUACUUGAGGGGAUUUAGAUACAUGAGAACAAAGAGAUCACGAGCUGAAAAGAGAAUACUUGAAUGAUGCACCGGUUAGAUUUAGAGAAUGAGAGCUGAAAGCUGAGAAUGAGUAAUAUUUGAAAAGAUGGUCUUCGGAGGAAAGAAAUGGAAACAACUCAUGAAAUGCUCCGGAUGCGUGAAAAGAAUUCUCACAAUCGAAAACAAUUAUGAGAGGAUGGCCUCAAACUAGAACCACAAAUCUUUGAAGAGAAUGGGGCAAUAUUUAAGAGAAACUCUUCUUCUGUCUUCAAAUGCAGAGAAUGACGAUGAGAAAGACCAGCAUGAAUUUUUGAGGCACUCUGGAAUGAAAAAUUAGAAAGGUUGAACCAACGAUGAAAAGAAUUUGAAAGAUUUUGGGGAAAGACAUAUGACUGAUGAAAAUCAUUAUUAUGUCAAACUUGGAAAGAAUUUUAGAGUAACUCUGGUAAAAUUAGAAGAGUCAGGUAAGAUCCUGGAAAAAGACCUGUGGGUUAGGGCCCACUCAAAAGGUACGCCGUUGAACGAUUACUUGAAAAGGAGAUUGCACCGAUUGAUUUAAAUGGCUUGAAUGAGAUAACAACCUCGAAAUAGCUUGAACGGAUCAAGAAUGUGACCGUGAAUCUUCUGAGAUAUCUUCAGCACUCCAGAACAAUUGAAUAGCGAGAGGUGAGUAAAUAAGAUAGUCUUCGGUAAGGACUUCCAACAUGGAAAGGAUGUGAACCCAUGAAAAAGAUAUGAUCAACCCCGAAAGCUUGCAUUGAAACCACCGGAGAAGAAAGAGAACAAAGAAUGAUGAACUGGUAAAACAUCUUCAUGAGAACCACCGGGUAAGGACAUUGACGGAAAAGAAUGGAGAGACUUCACAUCAAUAAGAUGGAUACUUGAUUAAGAAAUCUGUGUCCUUGAAGAAAAAGUGUGGGAGGGCGGGAAAACAAAGGCAACUUUGAGAUGGAUGAAACAAACACCGUUGAGAAACUUAGAGUUGAUCUUGCGGAUGUUGAAAAUGAUCGGAUCCACUUGAAGAGAAACGCGCCGGUUGGAAAAGAAUUAACAUGACAACCUCGAUGAUCAAGAAGGAUUGGUAUUCACAUAGAAGUAUGAGAACACCACUUUGGAAAUGUAUGGAAUCAACAUUUGAUUUUGAAGCAUCUCGAAUACCACAACUCAAAACAUAACAAAGGAUUGGCUUGCAGAAUAAGCCGGAAACAAACAUAUGAUAAACCCCAUAUCGUAUCAUGUGUCUAUUGGAAAGAUAUUCUAGGAGGUACUUGAAUUCCCACUUAUAAACUCCCAAAAUUUUCUGGUUAAGCAAUCAGGUGUUGGGGAUACAGGGGAAGCCUAAUAUCUCACACAAACAAACAAAUCCUACAUCCAGCUGUAUCCAUCCUUCAAUACAUAACCAAGAAACCUUCGAAAAUCAUUUACCUCAACCUUCGAAUAGCAUCCGUUAUACGAGUUCUUGCAAUACUCCCCAACUGCCGCCCCAGUACUGGGUGGCGUCAAGGUUAUCUCACCAACAACUUCAUAAAAGAGAUUUUCGAUGUCGACGAACUCAGGUACACUAGAGCAGCAACGAUAAAAUUGUGAUGACAACACCUCAGAGCUCAAAUCCCCGGGACACUGCCACAACCACUAAAUGUUAGGAGGCACCAAGAACAAUGUUCUCGUCAAGAAACCAUCGGAACGAUUCCAAGAUACCCGCGUGAUCAUAAUUUUUUUUCAUGAAAUUUGAGAAGAGAAGAGUCAAAACUCUAAGCCAGGAGGUCUCACCAGAGCGACGAAGGGACUGAGGAGUAAAAAGAAUCCAACUCUCUGAUAUAUAAUCCUAUAAGACUCAAAACAUUUUUCUAGACUCAACAACGCCAGCGAUUCGAUCAAGCAGGGGGCUCCUAAGUCAGGGAAGGCUCUGAUACCAACUUGUAACACCCACGAUGCGGCUAUAUCUCCCACGUGUCGGAGCACGACUUAGAGGCAUAACCGCAUAGUAGGCAUGCCGCAAGAGGGGUAAUCUUUACACAUCCCAUGUACUGAAUAAGAAAGGGAUAAAUAGUUGGCUUACAAUCGCCACUUCACACAAUACAUAAAUAUAGCAUUACAUCAUCCAGAAUACAAUCAAGGUCCGACUAAGGAACCAAAUAAAGAAAGACAACCCAUAAUGCUACAUCCUCGAUUGCCCCGACUGGGCUCCACUACUGAUUAAUUGGGAACGAAACGACACAACGAAAAAGAUCUUCAUCGAGCUCCCAUCUGAGCUCGGUUGUGUCACCUGCACUGGCAUCAUUGGCACCAGCAUCUGGUUUUGGAAGUAUCUGUGAGUCAUGGGGACUCAGAAAUCUCACAGCCUCGCGAUCAAGACUAUUUCAGCUUAAAAGGUAGGAAAGGGUAGUGAGGUGGAGCUGCAGCAAGCACUAGCAUAUAUGGUGGCUAACUUAUGCAAAUGAGAGCGAGAAGAGAAGCAAAGAACGGUCGUGAACUAGAAGUGAUCCUGAAGCUGCCUACGUUCAAGCAUAACACGAGACUGUGUUCUCUUCCCGGACUCCGCCGAAAAGAGACCAUCACAGCUACACACGUUGUUGAUUCAUUUUAAUUAAGUUAAGUGUCAGGUUUUCUACAACCGGAUAUUGACAAAUUCCCAUCUGCCCACAACCAUGGGCACGACUUUCGGAAGUUCAAAACCCUAUAGGGGUGUCCCAACUUAGCCCAUCACAAGCUCUCAUGGUCAACGAAGGAUAUUCCUUCUCCCAGGAUGACCCGAUCAAACUCGGAAUCCCGGUUACAAGACAUUUCGACAAUGGUAAAACAAGACCAGCAAAGCCACUCGAAUGUGCCGACAAAUCCCGAUAGGAGCUGCACAUAUCUCGUUCUCAGGGCACACCGGAUUUUCCAAACUUCCGGUAGGCCAGCCCAGAGUUGCCCCUGGUGGCCACAGGCGGCUGACAAGUUGGACCAACACUCAGAGGAGCACUGGCCCGGGGGUUUAAAAUAAAGAUGACCCUUGAGUCUGCAGAACCCAAGGGAAAAAGGCUUAGGUGGCAAAUGGUAAAACCAAGGUUGGGCCUUGGUAGAGGAGUUUUAUUCAAGGCGAACUGUCAAGGGGGUCCCAUUAUAACCCAACCGCGUAAGGAACGCAAAAUCGAGGAACAUAAAACGGUAUGACGGAAACUAGGUCGGCAAGAGUGGAACAAAACACCAAGCAUAAGGCUGAGCCUUCCACCCUUUACCAAGUAUAUAGAUGCAUUAAAGUAAACAAGAUAUAAUAAUGAUAUCCCAACAAUAUCCAUGUUCCAACAUGGAAGAAACUCCAUCUUCACCUAAAACUAACAACGCUGUAAGAGGGGCUGAGCAAAGUGGUAACAUAGCCAAACAAUGGUUUGCUAGGACAAGGUGGGUUAGAGGCUUGACAUGGCAAUAUGGGAGGCAUGAUAUAGCAAGUGGUAGGUAUCGCGGCAUAGCAAAAGAGCGAGCAACUAGCAAGCAAGGAUAGAAGUGAUUUCGAGGGUAUGGUCAUCUUGCCUGCAAAGUUCUCCGAGUUGACGAUAGCUUGAUCCUCGUAAGCGUACUCAACGGGUUCCUCGAUCACGUACUCGUCUCCCGGCUCUACACAAAGCAAGAACACAAUCAAAGCAAUAAAAAAUCAACCACAGUGCAAUGCGCAAGCAACAUGAUGCAAAACAUGGCAUGGUAUGCGAGAUGUGAUAUGCAAUGCAUAUGCGUGCUCUAGAAGGAAAAGAUUGAACCAGGCCUCAACUUGGCAAACCAAGUGUGCCGCAGGAAAGAUGAGUAGAUUUCGGUCAAAAUUAAUACAAAGAUCGCCGGAAACGGAUGCAUAGUUUUCAAAUGGCAAGCAAAACAAUAAUGGCACAAUUCUGCGAUUAACAGCACGAUGCCAUCUAGAAUGCAACAAGAAUUUAAGCAACUGCACUCGAACAUAGAAACAAAGCACAUGGCAGUGAUCUACUCAAGAUGCUUGACAAAAUAUGAACACUGAGCUAUGGCUAAAUCACACAAGAGCAGGUUCAAACAAGCAUGGCAAAAGUGCAAAAGAUAUCAGCAUCGCUGACUUCGUGAAAAUACUAGCAUGUCAGGAAUUAACAUCAGGAAGCAAUGUUUAGAGCAAGAUAUCAACAUGCUACAUGAACAUAACACAGCAAAACAAGGCAUAGCAUGGAUCUAAUCAAAGCAUAUAACAGAAGUCCCUUACUGACCAUAAGCCAAAAGGGCACAGAAACUAUGAUGGCACCCAUGUAAACAUAGCAUGUUUCAUUAACAGAUUCAGACUUUGAAGAAAAAUUGAGCAUGGCAUAAAUAGAAUUAUGAAGGUAUGUUUGCGAGCUCGAUGCACUCAACACAAGGCAUUGCAUGACAAGCUAAACAUACUACCAGCAAGAAGACAUGAUCAUGAAGCCAAGCAAAGCAAUAACAAGUUCAUAGCAUGCAUGGAUCAACUACAACAACCUUGGCAAAAUUGAUUAACACAUAAACAAUCUGCCAGGAACAUUUUAUAGCAAAAGUAGAGCCAGAUUGAGUCAUGCUAGGGAACUCCAUAAAAGCAAACAUGGGAAUGGAUGGACAAAGCAUAACAAUAUGUCCAAAUCUUCCUUACUGAAGCAACUCAAAUAAAGCAUCUAUCUCACUGUAGCAACAUGAAUACAUGGCAUAAAAAUAACAGCAGAGCAAAGACUUAGUGAAAUUAUAAGUCCCUGAAAUUAGCAAUAUUACGAGAGCUACUUUGCAUGCUUGUGAUAGUCAACACAUUGAUCACAACAAUACAUGGCAUACACCCCUAUAACGAUGGCAUGGCAUAGCCCAAAACACAUGUAGAGCUCAUGCCCAUAUGCAACACACAAUAAAUUUAGCAAAAAUGACAAAUGCUCAUACUCUGCUAAGUAACAGGAACUAACAUUUUAAAGCACUCUUGUAUCAACAAUUUGGGCAUCAAGAUGGACUCAAACAAGCAUGGCACAAUGGAACAAAAUGAAUAGCACAUCCUGAUGAACAUUUUGAUAUAUCAUGCAUGCAAAACGGAUCUACCGAUGAGGAGUUAUGGCAUGAUGAAUAGUGCAUGAAAAUAUGAGCGGGGACAAAGACUUAGAGAAAAUCAACCUCUCCGAGGAAGUCAACGGGCGGACGAAGAGAUCCGGGAUGGAGGGAACCGGGACACGGCGGUGUUUGGUUCGGGCACCCAGUGGAUCUGAUCCACCCGGGCCGGAUCUGGCGGUUAGAAUUCCGGCGAGGUCGGCGCGGACUCCAGUGACAAGGGGCGGCGGCGGAGGCUUCGUCCGGCGAUGCGGGGGGCGACGCAGCCAGCGCGGGCGGCAGCGCGGUGAGCUAGCACAACGAUGGCGCGGAGGAGAUGGCAGCGCAGCGGGGCGGCGGAAGGCGGCGGUUGCGGGCGUAGCGCGGCGCGAUGGCGGGGAAGCCAGCGGGCGUCGGUGCACGGCCGGUGGCAGAGGCGCGAUGCGGCGUGUCGGCGGGAGCUAGGCGGCGGAGGCAAGGGCUCGGUCGAGCGGCGGCUCGGCCUAGUCGAGCACGGCGUGGGCCGGCCGUGGGCUCUGCGGGCCGCGGCGCGGUGGGGAGGAGUCAGCGGGCCACAUGGCGCGAGGGGAGUGGUCCACGGCGACACUGUGCUGAUGUGUCGGCCUCUGAUUGGCCGAAACGCGUGGCGACUGGCGGUGGACAUGUCCAGCCGUCGGUGGACGUGUCCGACGGCGCGGGGAGGUGGUAGACUAGGGUUUCAAUCAUGAAUUUUCGGGGGAGGUGCAAAUAUAUAGGUAGAGGGAGCUAGGAGAGUCCAAAUGAGGUGCGGUUUUCGGGCACACGAUCGUGAUCGAACGACCGAGACGAUGGAGGGGGUUUGAAUGGGUUAUUGGGCCAUCUUGGAGGGGUGUUGGGCUGCAAUACACACGAGGCCUUUACGGUUCCCUGGUUAACCGUUGGAGUAUCAAACGGACUCCAAAUGGCACGGAACUUGACAGGCGGUCUACCGGUGGUGUACCAAGGCCUCUUGGCAAAUCUCUGUCCAUUUCGAGACAGUUUAACACCCGCACACGAAAAGAGACAAAAGGGGGCGCCUGAUGACAUAAGAGUGUCGGAUUGCAAAACAGACAACGGGGAAAAUGCUCGGAUGCAUGAGACGAACACGUAUGCAAAUGCGAUGCACAUGAUGACAUGAUAUGAAAUGCAUGACAUGAACAAAAUGCAAAAUGAAGACAAAAACCAAACCACGAAAGAAACUCAUAUCGCAUCUCCGGAAAAAGGCAAGAGUUGAAAUACGAAUAUGGAAAGUUGUAUCCGGGGCGUGACAAGACUCCACCACUACGAGAGGAUCUCGUCCCGAGAUCUAGGAUGGCACCGGAGGGACAAAAUGGAAGAGGGAGAUAAGAGGUAAAACAAAGUUGCUUCUUUGACAAACGAGUGAAACCAAUGAACCUUGAGAUGUCGAAAAAAUUGAAUGAAAGAAUGCAUCAGAGAUGAACGAAGUUGAAAGCACUGCGUUAGGAAAGAGGAACAAGGAAGAACAAAUUCGGGUAGCACUCAGGUUGAAAAGUGAUAAAAAACUUGAUAAGAUGAAAAGAACUAGAAGAGAUGACACAACACUCCGGUUGAGAAGGGAGGUAAAACUUGUAAAAAUGGGAAGAACUUGAUAACAGGGCACGACACUCCGGUUAAAUGGAUAAGCACAAAGAGAACACACUCCUCACAAUUCAAGAUGAUGAGUGAGGAGAGCAACAUCACGAAGCCUCCGGAAGAAAGAAUAGAAGAUAGAUCAUUGGAAGGAAAGAAUGGAGAAGAAAAUCCCAACUUCAGCCACAAAUGAGUUUGGAAAGCACCAUUCCAAGAAGGUUAUAACGGAGUUGCUGGAAAACCAACAACGAAAUGCAUAAACUUUUAGUCGACUUGUGGAAAAUAUCUCAAAAUUAUGAGGUGAAAUUCUGCCACUAACGGAAACAAUAGAUUGGAUGGAUAUUAACAAGGAGAGACAAACCACCAUGUAGAGCCUCCAUGAAGAACUCCGGUAAUAAAAAGGAUAGCGAAAAGAAAGAGAAGUUGAAAACACAAGGUGAAGCCUUGCGAUGAUUUAUAUGGAGCUUCAUGACAAGAUAAUGCGGAAGACCUGGAACUCCGGAAAAGAAAGAUGAACAAAUGAAAUAAAGAAUUUGAUGAACCUCCGGAAUAAGGAAUUAAUCACUUGGAUGAAACUAAAAUAAGAAUUACAUUAUGUUGAUCCAUCAUCAAUUAAAUUGAUGACAAUCAACGGAUUUGGCAUACUACUUAUUCUUGUUGAAAGGAUUCAGAUAGAUAUAGCGCAAACUUGAGAAGGUCUUCUGUGAACCACCGGUUGGAUUGGGAAGAACGAAUGAAUUUAUAUGAUAACGAUGGAAGAGAAAUCUUGAACGAACCAUCAUAAGUAUUGAAAACGAUUGAAGAAACGAUAAAGAAACACCGGGAAGAAUUAUAAAACGAAUGAAGAUACUUGAAGGGAUUUAGAUACAUGAGAACAAAGAGAUCACGAGCUGAUAAGAGAAUACUUGAAUGAUGCACCGGUAAGAUUUAGAGAAUGAGAGCUUAAAGCUGAGAAUGAAUAAUAUUUGAAAAGAUGGUCAUCGGAGGAAAGAAAUGGAAACAACUCAUGAAAUGCUCCGGAUGGGUGAGAAGAAUUCUCACAAUCGAAAAAAAUUAUGAGAGGAUGGCCUCAAACUAGAACCACGAAUCUUUGAAGAGAAUGGGGCAAGAUUUAAGAGCAACUCUUCUUCUGUCUUCAAAUGCAGAGAAUGACAAUGAGAAAGACCACCAUUAAUUGUCGAGGCACUCCAGAAUGAAAAAUUAGAAAGGUUGAACCAACGAUGAAAAGAAUUUGAAAGAUUCUGGGGAAAGACAUAUGACUGAUGAAAAUCAUUCUUACGUCAAACUUGGAAAGAAUUUGAGAGUAACUCCGGUAAAAUUAGAAGAGUCGGGUAAGAUCCUGGAAAAAGACAUGUGGGUUAGGGCCCACUCAAAAGGUACGCCGUUGAACGAUUACUUGAAAAGGAGAUUGCACCGGUUGAUUUAAAUGGCUUGAAUGAGAUAACAACCUCGAAAUAGCUUGAACGGAUCGAGAAUCUAACCGUGAAUCUUCUGAGAUAUCUUCAGCCCUCCGGAACAAUUGAAUAGCGAGAGGUGAGUAAAUAAGAUAGUCUUCGGUAAGGACUUUCAACAUGGAAAGCAUGUAAACCCAUGAAAAAGAUAUGAUCAACAAUGAAAGCUUGCAUUGAAACCACUUGAGAAGGAAGAGAGCGAAGAAUGAUGAACUAGUAAAACAUCUUCAUGAGAACCACCGGGUAAGAACAUUAACGGAAAAGAAUGGAGAGACUUCACAUCAAUAAGAUGGAUACUUUAUUAACAAAUCUGAGUCCUUGAAGAAAAAUUGUGGGAGGGCAGGAAAACAAAGGCAACUUGGAGACGGAUGAAACAAACACCGUUGAGAAACUUAGAGUUGAUCUUGCGGAUGUUGAAAAUGAUCGGAUCCACUUGAAGAGAAACGCGUCGGUUGGAAAAGAAUUAACAUGACAACCUCAAUGAUCAAGAAGGAUUGGUAUUCACAUAGAAGUAUGAGAACACCACUUUUGAAAGGUAUGGAAUCAACAUUUGAUUUCGAAGCAACUCGACUACCACAACUCAAAACAUAACAAAGGAUUGGCUUGCAGAAUAAGCUGGAAACAAACAUAUGAUAGACCCCAUAUCAUAUCAUGUGUCUAUUGGAAAGAUAUUCUAGGAGCUACUUGAAUUCCCACCUAUAAACUCCCGAAAUUUUCUGGUUAUGCAAUCAGGUGUUGGGGAUACAGGGGAAGCAAAAUAUCUCACCCAAACUAACAAAUCCUACAUCUAGCUGUAUCCAUCCUUCAACACAUAACCAAGAAACCUUCGAAAAUCAUUUACCUCAACCUUUGAAAAGCAUCCGUUAUACGAGUUAUGGCAAUACUCCCGAACUCCCGCUCAAGUACUUGGUGGCGUCGAGGUUAUCUCACCAACAACUGCAUAAAAGAGAUUUUCGAUGUCAGUGAACUCAAGUAUUCCAGAGCUGCAACGAUAAAAUUGUGACGACAACACCUCGGAGGUCAACUCCCCGGGACACUGCCACAACCCCUAAAUGUCAGGAGGCACCAAGAACAAUAUUCUCAUCACAAAACCAUCGGAACGAUUCCAAGAUACUCAUGUGAUCCUAAUUUUUUUUCGUGAAAUUUGAGAAGAGAAGAGUCAAAACUCUAUGUCAGGAGGCCUCACCAGAGCAACGAAGGGACUGAGGAGUAAAAAGAAUCCUACUCUCUGAUAUAUAUAAUCCUAUAAGACUCAAAACAUUUUUCUAGACUCAACAACGCUAGAGAUUCGAUCAAGCAGGGGCUCCUAAGUCGGGGAAGGCUCUGAUACCAACUUGUAACACCCACGAUGCGGCUAUAUCUCCCAUGUGUCGGAGCAUGACUUAGAGGCAUAACCGCAUAGUAGGCAUGUCGCAAGAGGGGUAAUCAUUACACAUCCCAUGUACUGAAUAAGAAAGGGAUAAAGAGUUGGCUUACAAUCGCCACUUCACACAAUACAUAAAUAUAGCAUUACAUCAUCCAGAAUACAAUCAAGGUCCGACUACGGAACCAAAUAAAGAAAGACAACCCCUAAUGCUAAUCCCCGAUCACCCCCUACAUCUGGUUUUGGAAGUAUCUGUGAGUCACGAGGAUUCAGAAAUCUCACACCCUCGCGAUCAAGACUAUUUAAGCUUAAAAGGUAGGAAAGGGUAGUGAGGUGGAGCUGCAGUAAGCACUAGCAUAUAUGGAGGCUAACUUACGCAAAUGAGAGUGAGAAGAGAAGCAAAGCACGGUCGUGAACUAGAAGUGAUCAAGAAGUGAUCCUGAAGCUACCUACGUUCAAGCGCAACACGAGACCGUGUUCUCUUCCCAGACUCCGCCGAAAAGAGACCAUCACGGCUGUUGAUUCAUUUUAAUUAAAUUAAGUGCCAGGUUUUCUACAACCGGAUAUUAACAAAUUCCCAUCUGCCCAUAACCGCGGGCAUGGCUUUCGAAAGUUCUAAACCCUGCAGGGGUGUCCCAACUUAGCCCAUCACAAGCUCUCACGGUCAAACAAGGAUAUUCCUUCUCCCAGGACGACCCGAUCAGACAUGGAAUCCCGGCUACAAGACCUUUCGAUAAUGGUAAAACAAGACCAGCAAAGCCACCCGAAUGUGCCGACAAAUCCCGAUAGGAGCUGCAUAUAUCUCGUUCUCAGGGCACACCGGAUUGUCCAAUCUUCCGGUAGGCCAGCCCAGAGUUGCCCCUGGUGGCCACCGAUGGCUGACAAGUUGGACCUACACUCAGAGGAGCACUGGCCCGUGGAUUUAAAAUAAAGAUGACCCUUGAGUCUGCAGAACCUACGGGAAAAAGGCUUAGGUGGGAAAUAGUAAAACCAAGGUUGGGCCUUGCUGGAGGAGUUUUAUUCAAGGCAAACUGUCAAGGGGUUCCCAUUAUAACCCAAACGCGUAAGGAACACAAAAUCAAGGAACAUAAGACCGGUAUGAUGGAAACUAGGAAGGCAACAGUGGAACAAAAGACCAGGCAUAAGGCCGAGCCUUCCACCCUUUACCAAGUAUGUAGAUGCAUUAAAGUAAACAAGAUAUAAUAAUGAUAUCCCAACAAUAUCCAUGUUCCAACAUGGAACAAACUCCAUCUUCACCUGCAACUAACAACGCUAUAAGAGGGGCUGAGCAAAGGGGAGUGACAUGGCAAUAUGGGAGGCAUGAUAUAGCAAGUGGUAGGUAUUGCGGCAUAGCAAAAGAGCGAGCAACUAGCAAGCAAAGAUAGAAGUGAUUUCGAGGGUAUGGUCAUCUUGCCUGCAAAGUUCUCCGAGUUGACGAUAGCUUGAUCCUCGUAAGCAUACUCAACGGGUUUCUCGAUCACGUACUUGUCUCCCGACUCUACCCAAAGGAAGAACACAAGCAAAGGAAGCAAAAAUCAACCACAGUGCAAUGCGCAAGCAACAUGAUGCAAAACAUGGCAUGGUAUGCGGGAUGUUUUAUGCAAUGCAUAUGCGUGCUCCGGAAGGAAAAGAUUGAACCAGGCCUCAACUUGGCAAGCCAAGCGUGCCGCUGGAAAGAUGAGUUAAUUUCGGUCGAAAUCGAUAUAAAGAUCGCCGGAAACGGAUGCACGGUUUUCAAAUGGCAAGCAAAACAAUAAUGGCACAAUUCUGCGAUUAACAGCAUGAUGCCAUCUAGGAUGCAACAAGAAUUCAAGCUGCUGCACUCCAACAUAGCAACAAAGCACAUGGCGGUGAUCUAUUGAAUAUGCUUGACAAAAGAUGAACACUGAGAUAUGGCUAAAUCACACAAGAGCAGGUUCAAACAAGCAUGGCAAAAUUGCAAAAGUUAUCAGCAUCGUGGACUUGGUGAAAAUACUAACAUGUCAGGAAUUAACAUCAGGAAACAAUGUUUAGAGAAAGAUAUCAACAUGCUACAGGAAUAGAACAUAUCAAUGCAAGGCAUGGCAUGGAUAUACUCAAAGCAUAUAACAAAAGUUCCUUACUGACCAUAAGCAAAAAGGGCACAAAAAAUAUGAUGGCAGCCAUGUAAACAUAGAAAGUUUCGUUAACAGAUUCAGACUUUGCAGAAAAACUGAGCAUGGCAUAAACAGAAUUAUGAAGGCAUGUUUGCGAGCUCGAUGUGCUCAACACAAGGAAUUUCAUGACAAGCUAAGCAUACUACCAGCAAGAAGACAUGAUCAUGAAGCCAAGCAAAGCAAGAACAUGUUCAUAGCAUGCAUGGAUCAACUACAACAACCUUGGCAAAAUUGAUUAACACGUAAACAAACUGCCAGGAACAUUUUAUAGCAAAAGUAGAGCAAGAUUGAGUCAUGCUAGGGCACUCCAUAAAUGCAAACAUGGGCAUGGAUGGAUAGAGCAUAACAAUAUGUCCAAAUCAUCCUUACUGAAGCAACUCAAAUAAAGCAUGUAUCUCACUGUAGCAACAUGAAUACAUGGCAUAAAAAUAACAUCUGAGCAAAGACAUAGUGAAAUUCUAAGUCCCUAAAAUCAGCAAUAUUACGAGAGCUACUUUGCAUGCUUGUGCUAGUCACCACAUUAAUCACAAAAAUACAUGGCAUACACCCCUGUAAAGAUGGCAUGGCAUAGCCCAAAACACAUGUGGAGCUCAUGCCGAUAUGCAGCACACAAGAAAUGUAGCAAAAAUGACAAAUGCUCAUACUCUGCUAAGUAAUAGGAACUAACAUUUUAUAGCACUCUUUCAUCAACAAUUUGGGCACCAAGAUGGACACAAACAAGCAUGCCACAAUGGAACAAAAUCAAGAGCACAUCCUGGUGAACAUUUUGAUAUAUCAUGCAUGCAAAACGGAUCUACGGAUGAGGAGUUAUGGCAUGAUGAAUAGUGCAUGAAAAUAUGAGCAGGACAAAGACUUAGAGAAAAUCAACCUCUCCGAGAAAGUCAACGGGCAGACGAAGAGAUCCGGGACGGAGGGAACCGGGACACGGCGGUGUUUGGUUCGGGCAACCGGUGGAUCUGAUCCACCCGGGUCGGAUCUGGCGGUUAGAACUCCGGCGAGGUCGGCGCGGACUCCGGUGAUGAGGGGCGGUGGCGGAGGCGGCGUCCGACGUCGCGGGGGGCGGCGCAGCCGGCGCGGGCGGCGGCGCGGCGAGCUAGCGCGGCGAUGGCACGGAGCAUAUGGCAGCGCGGCGAGGCGGCGGAAGGCGACGGGUGCGGGCGGAGCAUGGCGCGGUGGCAGGGAAGUCGGCGAGCGGCGGAGCAUGGCCGGUGGGCCGCACGUACAGUUUUUUUUAAAUAGAAACAGAAGGAAAACUGAAUAACAAAAUAAAAUAAAAUUUUAUAUAGGCAUAUUAUAUAUCAAAAUUUUUAGAAAAAGAUUUUCUACGACAUGAACAUUUUUCUGGCAUUAAAUAAAUACACACAAAUUCUAAUAAUUCUAACAGUGCUCCUGCUCUAAUAAGAUCCUACAAAAAUCAUUUUAAAAAUACCAAAAUGAAAUCAAAUUUAUUUCUCUCCAAUUUUCUGUUGUAGGGAAUCAUGUUACCCUAUUUUCCAUGUAUUUUAUUUUUGAAGAAAAAUGAUUUGAAUAAAAUCCAAAUAACUCCAAAUUGAAAAAUAAUUCCAAAAGAACUUUGAAUUUGAUCCUUUGAAACUCCCAACUCAUAUUUCAUAUAAUUUUAAGAAGUCAUUUUAUCUCCUCUCGUGAAAAUCAUUGAGUUGCAUAAAGUUUCAGAAUUGGAAAUAUUCUCAAAUGAAAUUCAAAUAUUUUCAACACCCCUUGUCAUUUAAAUAAAUGGAAGAAGUCAUGUCAUCUUCUCUCCAGGGUUUUGUGAUGAAAAGAAUUUGAAUUCAUGGGGAUCAAAAAGAAAAAGGUGAAAGUUUGGGAAAGUCCUUUUAUUCCCUCUCAUUUAACUUUCAAAAAGUUUCAAAUUUCACUCAAUCAAUCACACAACAAUCAAACAAUAAAUCAAUCAAUCUAUUUAUUUUAACAUUCCAAAAAUUAGAAUUUUGGGAUGUUACAAACCUACCACCCUUAAAAUGAAUCUCGUCCUCGAGAUUCGGAGAGGCUAGAAAGAAAUAGGUUGGGUUUGGGUCUUCUCAAAAUCUCAUCAAUCGUCUCUGGGGUCUGGGUUGCUACCACCCUUAAAAUCAUUGUUACGGUUCCAUCAAAACUCAUAUACUCCAUCCUUAUUCUUGACAGUGUCGGUUUUCUCAGAUCGUAAGGUUAAUUCCUUCUCUGGGCUCUUCCGGUAGUGGCAUAACAUUUUUCCUCAAUUCUUUUGUAUCCUUUCUUCCGGGUAAGGUUAUUCCGAGACUGGGUCUUCUUAGCUGACGAGUCUGGCGCCAAAACUGAACAACUAUCGAUAUCUCAUGGUGGUCAACAAUUUAUGGUUUCUCCUGCAGGAAAUGGGUCUGGAUUGAACCUCACCAUAUAACCUACGGUUGGCAACAACUGCCGUGUAGAAGGGAAAAAUUCUUAUACCAUUCUAAGGUUUAAACAGGAUUUUGAUCGCCGUCUCUCUACUAUAGGUAAGUCACUUAGAUUUACCAUCCCAUAUAGCAAGGCAAAUAAUAAGAGUAAGUCGGUAUGGUGAUCAAUCCAUCCCGCACCCAAAUCAUUACCUUGUAUACGGUUUAGCGAAUCUCGCAUUCUAACACUCGGUCAUCCUCACAAGCAUUUCUGAAUUUCUCUUGUCGACGAACCAAGGUUUGGAUAAAUCCAUUGAUUCUACAAGCCAAACAAACAUAUAUCGUUCCUUCACAAUCUCUCAGGUUUUGCGUUACUCCUAUAAAAUUGUCUGCCGAUAAACAUCGUAUCUUCCUCCAGGGUUCUUCCUUCAGCAAGGAUGUGCUUGCUUCUUGGUAGGUCCUGGGGCCUGUGGGUUACGGCCCAUCUUAUCACUUGUAGUCCUUGAACUUAUCAUCGGGCAACUGAUCAUUAUUCCAACUUCCAACUUCCUAGUAUUCUUAAACCCAUCCAAUUGUACUGUCUUCCUUCCUUCUAUUGGCACCAAACUAGGACAUGAUUACUCAGACUCAUCAUGGAAUUUCCCUUGAUCCAUAUUUCCAACAUCAUACCUCCUUUAUAUCCAAUAGUAAUUCAUCUCUUCAUCCUUGUGGGAUAUCCCACAUACCGAGAUAAAACUUAUACUUAUGAAGUCCAGAUUCCACUUCGUGGAACAUCAUUAUCCUUUCCAGGGUCAAGCGUCCUUACAGGGGAAUACUGGCCAUCUCUGCAUGGCACUUCUUCAACUGGGGAACGUGAAACACAUCAUGAACUCCUGACAGUCCUUUGGGUAACUCCAACUUGUAUUCCACUUCUCUCAUACGCUCCAAAACUGGGUAUGGUCUUACAAACCUCGGGGCCAACUGUCCCUUAACUCCAAAUCGUUUAACUCCUCGCAGAGGGGGCACAUGAAGACAUGCUCUGUCUCCAAUUUCAUAGACUACCUCCUUGCGUUUUUUUAGUGUUUAUAACUCUUCUGCCUGGACUGAGGUACCUUCAGUCUAUCUCGUAUCAACUUAACAUUCUCUUCUGACUCCUUGAUCACAUUUGGUCCAAACAACUGACGGUCUCCAACUUCAUCCCACACACUCUUGGGGUAUCAAACAUAUCGAGACAAAACUCGUAUUCAUUUUGUCUGAAAUCCACUCAGUGAAGUAUCCUUAUCUUUUCCAGGGGUCAAGGGUUCUUACAGGGUACUACCACCCUUAAAAUGCACAAAUCUUCCAUAAACCAUAUUUCUCAUAUCUUCAGAAAUGGUCAAAAUUCUUCUUCAUAGGGUAACAACUCAUAAAAUCCUUGUCAGUACCAACGAUGCUAACUUUAUUCAUUCUCAAGUGAUUACAAUUUCUCGCUUUUCCAUUACAUGUCUCAACUCAACACCUCAAUAUAAAAGAAAAUAUCCUCACUUCUACUACUCCAUUUCUUUUGUUGCAAACUCAUCUAUCUAGCACAAGUUUCCUUCUCUUUGGGACAAUCUCUGGCAAAAGUGCCCUGCUUCAUUACAACAAAAACAUAUUACUUCUGACAAGUCUCGAGGUUUCCUUUUUUGGGCAACUGUUGAGGUAGUGCCCUGACUCCUUGCACAUGUAACAGGUGAUAUCACUCAGGUCCUUCCUGGAAUCCAAUCUACUUCUCUUCCUGGACUUUUCCGUUCCAAUCAUGUAUUCUAUUUCUUGUGAGUCAUACUCUACUACCUCGGUCGGGAAUUCUACUAGAUCCCCAUUCAAACAAUUUUGGGAGAUGUGUCCUUCUUCUCCACAUGAAUAGCAAGACUUAGUGCAGGGUUUACUCAGGUCCUCUUUAGGUGUGUCCCGCACCUCUUCCUUCAUCACAGUUUCUUCUAAAAUUUCCAUGAGGGAUCCUUUCAUUACUUCUUUCUUCUGUUGGAUGGUUCGUUGUACCAUGGGGUAAAUGUGACACUGAGCAGGAUAGUGGGUAGUCCCUUCACACAAGAAGCAAGUAAUCUUCCUAAUUGGGCAUUCUUCAACUAGGUAACUUCCUUCACAAUUAGGGCAUUCAUCCUUGUGUUCUUUAUGGGUGUGUCCUAUUUCUCCACAAAUCUUGCAUGCACAAGGUUUGUUCAUAUCCUUUCCAUAAGGCUUCAAAUUCUGGGACACAAGGUGAGAUCUUUGCAGAGUCAACUUAAAUUCUUUCCAAGUGGUUACUCCUUGCCAUCCAUUGAUGGUUUGGUACAUCCUCCACCAAGUAGCAGCACCUCUUUCAAAGCACUAUAGAGCAUGCUGGGUCAUAUCAUUUCCAUCUAUAGGGUUAUUCUCCAUGUGAUCCUCCAUGUUCUGAAUCCAUUGGUCCGUCUCCAAUUGACUCAUUGGUCCGGAAAAUAUAAGCUCAUCUUCAUUCAUCCUCCAUUGGGUCCAUGGGUUUGGGGUAAGAUAAGAGAGAGGGAGAGGGAUGCACACAAUACAAACAAUAGUUUUGAAAAGACAGAUUUUAUUUGUGGCUGUCGGGAAAACAUCAAACAAAUGACAGCUCACAAACGUCGCAUCUAACGCAAGUGUAUAACAGGGGUUUCGUCUUCUAAAGGUUAAUAAAUCUUCAACGUCGUCUAACUCUUCAAGCCUUGUUCAUAUCUCCGAUGGGCUUCUUCCGAUCAUGCUUGUCCUUCUCAAGUUCUUUUGCCAGAUCAUCUCUGUUGACACGAAGUCUCUCGUGACGUCCUUUAAUAUUUUGGAGUUGCUUUCCAAACUUCCAGGUUUCAACAUCCUUGACAUGAACCAUGGCACUAUGGUCCUUCCGUUCCUGACUAAUCUCCUGUAUCUCGAGGUUUUGCUCCUCCAGCUUGGCUACUUUCAGCUUCUAGGUCCCGAGUUCUUUACGAAAUGCUUCCUUUCAAAUAUGGAUUCUUGUGGCUCCAUCUUAACUUCUUGAUGUAAUACUCCAGAUCCUGGUGAUACACCGGCUAAGGUUAAAACUUCAUAUUGCUGAUGGGUGCUCCAUCAGCCUUCUACCAUCCAAUCCUUCCAUGCAUAUACAUGUAACGCCCUCGAUGCGACUAUAGCUCCCACGUGUCGAGGCACGACUUAGAGACAUAAUCGCAUUGAAGGCAUAUGUCGCAAGUUAGGCAAUCUUCACAACAUCCCCUGUAAUAUAAAUAAUAAAGGGGAGAUAACAUAGUUUGCUUACACUCGCCACGUCAAUCAAGUACAUAAAUAACAUUACAUCAUCCAAACACUCAUGGCCCGACUACGGCGCCAAAAUAAGAGAGAACCCAACAUGCGACACGGUCCCAAUCACCCCCAACUGGGCACCACUACUGAUCAUCGUGGAAGGAAACAUAGUAAUGUUGAGAGUCCUCGUCGAACUUCCACUUGAGCUCAUAUGCGUCUCCUGGAGCGGAAUCAUCAGGCCCUGCAUCUGGUGUAAUAGUAAUCUGUGAGCCACAGGGACUCAGCAAUCUCGCACCCUCGCGAUCAAGACUAUUUAAGCUUAUAGGUAAGGCAAGGUAAAUAUGAGUGGAGCUACAGCAAGCGACUAGCAAAAUAUGGUGGCCAACUUAUACGCAUAAGAGAGCGAGAAGAGGAGGCAAAGCGCGAGCGAGAAACUAGAGAGCAACCUGCGCAAACAUUACUCCAACACCGUGUCCACUUCCUGGACUCCGCCGAGAAGGGGCCAUCACGGUAACACACUCAGUUGAUUCAUUUUAAUUAAUUAAGGUUCAAGUUAUCUACAACCGGACAUUAACAAAUUCCCAUCUGCCCAUAACCGCGGGCACGACUUUCGAAAGUUCAAAUCCCUGCAGGGGAGUCCCAACUUAGCCCACGACAAGCUCUCACGGUCAACGAAGACGUUCCGAUCAGACUCGGUAUCUUGGUAACUCAAGACACUUCGACAGGUUAAAACAAGAUCAGCAACACCUCCCGAAUGUGCUGACAAAUCCCGAUAGGAGCUGCACAUAUCUCUUUCUCAGGGCACACUCAGAUGAGCGCUCCAUACAACUAUAAUCAAACCUCGAGUUUCCCCGAGGGGGCGCUGUACAGGACUCUAGUUUGGACCAACACUCAGAGGAGCACUGGCCCGGGGGGGGGGGGGUUUAAAUACGAUGACCCGCGGGCUCCGGAAACCUGAGGGAAAAAGAGGCUAGGUGGCAUAUGGUAAGACCAAGGUUGGGCAUUGCUGGAAAAGCUUUAAUCAAGGCGAAAUAUCAAGGGGUUCCCAUUAUAACCCAACCACGUAAGGAACGCAAAAUCCGGGAACAUAACACCGAUAUGACGGAAACUAGGGCGGCAAGAGUGGAACAAAACACUAGGCGAGAGGCCAAGCCUUCCACCCUUUACCAAGUAUAUAGAUGCAUUAAGAUAAUAUGGCAAUAUAAUGAUAUCCCAACAAGUAAAUAAAUGAUGUUCCAACAAGGAACGGCCUCCAAUCUUCACCUGCAACUAACAACACUAUAAGAGGGGCUGAGCAAAGCGGUAACAUAGCCAAUCAAUGGUUUGCUAGGACAAUGGUGGGUUAGAGGUUUGACAUGGCAAUUUGGGAGGCUUGCAAGAAAGUGGUAGGCAUCGUAGCAUUGGCAUAGCAAAAGAGCGAGCAAACUAGCAUAGCAAAGAUAGUAGUGAUUUCGAGGGUAUGAUCAUCUUGCCUGCAUAGUUGUCAGAGUUGACUGGAUCCUCGAAAGCAAACUCAACGGGCUCCUCGUUAGCGAACUCGUCUCCCGAAUCUACCCAAACAAGACAAACAAGCAACAAGGAUACAAUCAACCACGUGCAAGACCAAGCAAUAUGAUGCAAUGAUGAUAUGCUAUGCGGGAUGCGAUGCGGGAUGCAAAAUGCAAGAUAUGACAGGAAAUGCAUGAACCUAGCCUCAACUUGAAAAACCAAGUGUGCCACUGGAAAGAUGAGAUGAAAUCGCUUGAAAACAAUAUAAAGAACGCCAGAAUCGGAGUUACGGUUUGGAAAUGGCAAGCGAUCCAAAAAUGACACCGGUCUGCGAUUUACAGCAAGUAGGCAUCUAAAUGCAAUGAGAUGAACAUGCUAAAGCACCCAAAUAUGACAAGAAAAUACAUGGCAGGGAUGCAUACAAGAUGCUUAACAAAAGUCUAGCACUGAGCUACGGCCAAUAAUCCAUUAAUAGGUUCAAACAAGCAUGGCAAAAAUGCAUAUGACAAACAGAUCUCAGACUUAGUGAAAUUAACACUUGUCUGGAAUUUCAGAUCAGAUAGCCCUCUUCGGAGCCACAAAAAUACCAGCUACAGGACCUGAACAUGGCAAAGUAAAUCAUGGCAUGGAGCUACUCAAAGAGCUUAAAAAAGUACCUUAGUGACCUUGAGCCAAAAGGGAUCAGAAAAUACAAUUGCAAGCAUGUGAACAUAGCAAAAACAUAAUCAGUUUUCAGACUUAGUGAAAACUGGCACAUGCUGAAAUAUAACUCAAGUAGGCAUGUUCACAAGCUCGAUGCACUCACUAUGGUGCAAGUCAUGGCAAGAAAAGCAUGCACCCAUCAAGAAGGCACAAAAUGCAAUCUAGACAUGGCAAGAACAAUAGCAUAGCAUGCACGGAUCAACUACAACAACAUCGGCAAAAUUGCAAACAAUUUGACAAUCUGCCCAGAUUCACAAAGUAGCAAAAGUAGAGCUCGAUUGACUCAAGCUAGGGUGCUCCAUAAUUGCAAACAAAGACAUGGAUGGAUAGAGCACUAAAACAUUAACAAAACAUCCUUACUGAUCAUCCUCAAAAGAGGCACGGAUCACUAGUAAACAACAUGAACAUAUGGCAUCAUGAGCUAAACAGCUCCAGGACUUAGUGGAAUUACAAAGUCCCUGAAAACAGAAUUAGCAAGUGCACCACUUUGCAAGCUUGCACUAGUCACCAAACACAUCCUAAAAAUACAUGGGUUGCACAUCUGGAGAGAUGACAAAACUCUUAACCAAACACAUGUAGAACUCAUGGGCAUAGCAUGCACAUAUUAAUCAUGGCAAAAAUGACAAAAGUGCUAAACGGAGUAACAGAUCUGGCAAUUAACUCAAGUAGCCCUCUUCUAACAGUAUUUUAGGCAUCAAGAUGAGCUCAAAUGAAAAUGAUGCAAUGGAAUGAAAUGAUGUACUCUCUGAGAUGAACUUUUUGAUAUGCUAUAUUCUUGAAUCGGAGCUACGGAUGCAAAGUUACGGAGCUACGAACAUGAGCACUUGGAUCAGAAUUUCCGGGACUUAGAGAAAAAAACGCCUCCGAGAUCUACGGUUUGCACGGAUUACGAGGAUGGCCGGAUCUUCACCGGAACAGUGCUCGGGACCGCCGGAGAGGUCGAGGUGGCCAGAGUUGGAGAUGGACGGGGCGGCGGCCGGAGCACGGCGGCGCGGCGCGCGGGGGUAGGAGGUAGGAGGAGAUCCGAAAAUCGGGGGAUGUUUAAAUAGGCAUAGAGGGAGCUAGGAGAGUACAAAAGAGGUGCGGUUUUCGGCCGCGCGAUCAUGAUCGAACGCUCUAGAUGAUGGAGCGGAGUUUGGUGGGUUUUGGGCCAAAUUGGAGGGGUGUUGGGCUGCAACACACACGAGGCCUUUUUGGUCCCUCGGUUAACCGUUGGAGUAUCAAACCAAGUCCAAAUGAUACGAAACUUGACAGGUGGUCUACCGGUAGUAAACCAAGGCCGCUUGGCAAGUCUCGGUCCAAUCCGGAAAUGUUUAAUCCCCACACACAAAAGAAAGCUAGAAAUGGCCACCGGAGGAGAACGAAGCGCCGGAAUGCAAAACGGACAACGGGGAAAAUGCUCGAAUGCAAGAGACGAACACGUAUGCAAAUGCAAUGCACAUGAUGACAUGAUAUGAGAUGCAUGACAACGACAACAACACACGGAGACAAAACCCGAACCCAAGGAAAUAAAUAUAACUUAACGCCGGAAACAACAAGAGUUGGAGUACAAAUUGGGAAAGUUACAUCCGGGGUGUUACAAUACAUGCUUAACUCAGCACGGUGACAAUAGCAUAAGCGGGAGAUAACUUCAUGGAUAGUUGUGUUUCUGCUCUUGUCAUUUCCAUGAGCUAUCUCUCCAUAGUUGAUAUCUCCUGCCUUAGGGUUUUUCCUUGACAAAACUUCGAGUUCUAAUGCUCCAUGUUUCGGUCUUUCUCCGAUACACCUUGAUCUCGGGUAUUGACAACUUCCAUAGUCUGCCAAGUUCCAUAAGGGUAGCCUUCCUAGGUCAUACAAAUCUGGGAAUUCUUUAGAUCCUUCAAAUUCUACUUGUCUUCGAUCUUCAACCGUUGUAGUUUCCAUUAUUCAGAUGCAUAGCAAAAAUCCUCUUCAUUUCGAAGCGGUCUUAGUUGUCCAAUAAUGAGUGAUCCAAAGGGAAAAAGGGUAUAGUCUCACUAAAAUGGAAUUUUUGAAUAAGCUCAGAAGAGAAGAGAGGUAAAAGAUCUUUUUGAAAGGGAAAGUUGUAGAGAAAAAAUCUUUGCUAUGGGCUUGCCAGUUUCUAGGGCCACGUCCUACAGUCAACAUGUCCUCUGAUACCAUCUUGUAGCGACCCGACCCAAAUGGAUCAAGUCUCUGUGCUUAAGUGUUAUCCCUGGAACGGUAUGCUGACACACACAGUACUCGAGGAUUUAUAACAGAGGUCAAUCACAUGUAUAAGUAACGUAAGAUACUAUUACCUCAAUCCAAAAUAGCGGAAGUAACAAGUUGUGGAUUCCCAUCAACACCAACGGCAAAGUUGAGUGUAGAAAUCGUAACCCUAACGUAUCACUUACUCGUCGUAAGAAAUCCUGCAACAUGAGACAUUGCAGCCACAAAGGGUCAGUACAUUGAAUGUACUAGCAAAUUGACACCAUAGAGAAUGAUGAACAAUGGCUAUCACUAUAUGCAUAUAUGGUUGGUGGAAAAGCUCUAUGGUUAUAUGUUUUUGCAAAAAGCCAAUUUUUCCCUACUGCAAAAGAAUACAUUUUAAUUAACUAUCAUGGUGGUUUUUGAACAUUGAGAAUGGUUGACAGCAUUCUCAAUCCCAAUUAAGUAACAUCAUUAAAACCCAACCAAUUAUUUAAGUAACGUGAUGAGAUCAACAGGAUAAUCCAAGAACUAGAUACUCAAGACGUCCAUAACCGGGGACACGACUAAUCAUGAUUAGUUUAUACACUCUGCAGAGGUUGCGCACUUUUCCCCACAAGACUCGAUCGCCUCUGUUCGAUUUCUCGCACUACAUGGUGAAACGGAUGACAGAGACAUAGUCUUUCAGAAGCGCUAGCACCUUACGAUGGAUAGACCGUUACACCUACUUUCCCCUACAUCUGCUAGCCUACCCUGUAAGAGUUCACACGACUUAAUCAACUAUGCUAGAGCCCAUAAUAGCUUGUGGCUUCACACGGAAGUUUCUAGUAUGAAAAAUCUCAUGAUCCCUUUGAGCCUAGGUGGCAUUCCAUAAAAAAACAGGCAAUCCUGGCUACCCAGGUGCCUAGACAGGCAAUCCUGGAAUAACCAGGUACCUCAAUCCACCCAGAUGUGUGUUUAAGUUGCCACCUUAGAUAAACCAUUAAUUAACAAACUCACAUCUGUCAUGGAUAUCACUCACCCAAUCCACGUCUACUAGCAUAGCAUGGCAUAAUAGGAAAACGUAGAAGUAACUCCCAAAGGUUUGAUACUACAACAGGUAAUAGGUACUACCUCAACUACCUCCCAAUCCCACAAUUUAAUUAGAUCCUAAUCAUGCAAUGUUUCAGGAUUGAUCUAAUGCAAUAAAACUGGGUAUGAAAGAGGAUAUGAUCAAAGUGUGAACUUGCCUGCAAUGUUGAUGAAGAUGAUUCGCACUCAAAACUCUUGAUAGUUCUACUCGUCACACUCCGGUCAAUCUAUCGUAAGCAAGCAAUAGUAACCACACAUAAGCAAUCACUCAAAGUAUCAGAAAGAUCAAGAAGACAAUUCGGAAAACAUCAAAACCAAGCAAAUAACUCUUGCAACAUAAAACAAUUUCUAACAGUACCAAAAUUAUAUGAAUUUGGCCUUAUCAGAAAGUUUAGGUCAAGAGUUUCGAUUUGCAAAAAGAAUCAACUCAAACGGAGCUACGAAACUCAAGUUAUUGAUCAAAUGAAGUUUGAAUUCAAAUCUGAUCUAAUUUAAAUUUUAAACUUUUCAAAAACAUGUUUGAGUUGGAUUACUGGAUAGAGGAGAUCAUAACGAAGAAGUGGGCGUUGGUUUCGUUGGAUUUGGACAAACGAGUAAAAAGUUAUGGCUAUUUGAAAAAUCAGGGUCAAGCUGUUUUACGGAAGAAAAAAUAGCUACGGGCUAGGGUCUAAUGUAUAAAUACGUAGACUAGUUGAUAUUCUAAUUAUUUUAUCAUAUUAGUCUAAAAAUAAUAAACUAUGGAGGUAUAAGAAGAAAAAAAACAAAGAAAGAUACCUUUAUAAGGGAGAGAAAAG
rnacentral:lncRNA from 1 species